rnacentral:lncRNA from 1 species
GAUUAUCAAAAUAUAUCACAUAAUCCAUUAUAACAAUAAUUCCACAUACAAAAUACAGAACAAAAAUCAUUUCUCUUCAGCAUGUAAUUCCUGUUGAGAUUCCAUCGAGUUUCACGUUGGUUUGGGUUGCAUUUGAAAUUUGCACAAUCUCUUUUGUUUUGGCCUUGAUCGUGAUGCAGAGCAGUAAGUUUGUGAUUGAUCCAUAUUCUAUUUAUAAUGAACUGAAGUUUUGAAUUGAUCUUUUCGAUUAACAACAACCCAUCUGCUCCAUUCGUAAUUUUUGUGAGCAAACGGAUACCGAAAAUUCUUGUAAGUGUUGGAUCGUGAUCCGAGGCUAUAAGGGGGGGUGAUAGCCUCUUUUCGAUUUAGACAGGUUGAUAGCGGAAUUACCUGUAAAUACUUAGCAAACAAAUGGUUGAACAGUAAUGAUAUAAGAAUAUUAUUAUUUUAUAGUAUUGCAAGUAUUACUCUUUGAAGCUUACUACAGUAAAUGAAUACUGAGUCAACUUGCUUGAUAAUGUUUCAAGUACAACUAUAGUAUAUGAAUACUAAGUUAUAUUGAAAACACAAAUUGUAUUGUAGAGUAAAUGACCAGAUAACUGGAUAUAUAGAUAAGCAAGUAAAUGACCAGAUAACUGGAUAUAUUGAUAAACAAGUAACUGACCAGAUAACUGGAUAAUUUGAUAAACAAGUAAAUGACCAGAUAACUGGAUAAAUAUGAUAAGAAAUAUAAGAAUUUAAAGCAAUAAAUAUAACCUCAGAUAGUUGACCAGAUAACUGGAUGAGGGAUCUGCGUAAAGUAGUCAACCUCUGUACUUGACCAGAUAACUGGAAGAGGGAUCUUUUUAAUUAUGUGUUGUUUUUUUAAGUGAAAGAUAAAACUAAAAUUAACAGAGAACAACACAAGAGAUUUAUACUGGUUCACCCAAACACGGGCUAGUCCAGUCCCGACCAACUGCCGGAUUUCACUCGCCUAAAGGUAAUGGCAAAACCUUUUCUAAGCUUUAAGGCUACUACGCUUAGGAACCAGUCUUUUACAGGUAGACUCACACCUUAGAGUAUUACAGGGCACUCUUAAGAACCUCUAACUUUUACGGGUAAGUUAGUACCUUAGAGUAUUCAAGGAACUCUUAAAAACCUCUCUAAGCUUUAAGGCUACUACGCUUAGGAACCAGUCUUUUACGGGUAGACUCACACCUUAGAGUAUUAAAGGGCACUCUUAAGAACCUUUCUAAGCUUUGAGGCUACCUCGCUUAGGAACCAGUCUUUUACAGGUAGACUCACACCUAAGAGUUUUCCUGGAAACUCUAUAAAACCAAACAGAGCUUUAUGGUUGAGCUCGGAAACCUUACCUCACACUUUGGUACUAUUGAGACAAACCUCUCAACCAAAGUGGACACACACAAGAGGUGAUUAGAGGAGUGGAAUAUCAAAGCAAACAACACUUCUUACUUGUACAAAUGACCAAGAAGAUUAGAAGAAGAAGUUGGAGAGCUUUUGAAGCUUUGGAAAGCUAGGACACUUGAGCACUUGGAAGCUUGGAAGCUUGAAGGCAAAAACGUGUGGACAAGUGUGGAGUGGAAGCUCUUAAGUUUGCUUAUGGUGUGGGUGAGUGGAAAUGAGGGGAUUACCCUUCUAUUUAUAGCCUUGGCCACUCAAUGUCCAUCCUUGGAUCUUCAAUGGAUGGCUCCUUGAUUUCUCACAUAAAUCCAAGAUUUGUCUUUGAAUAGUGUUUGCCUUGGAUAGUGUUGUGUCUCCUUGUCUUUGUUGGAGAAAUUCAAAUCUUUGUAAAUUCAAACUUGAGUAGAGAAUUUUACCGUUGUAGGAGAAUUCUUUUUCUUUGUAAAUUCAAACUUGAAUAGUGUUUUGUCUCCUUGUCUUUGUUGGAGAAUCUUAUCUUUGUAAAUUCAAACUUGAAUAGAGAAUUUUACCGUUGUAGGAGAAUUCUUUUCUUUGUAAAUUCAAACUUGAAUAGUGUUUUGUCUCCUUGGAAUAUUGUACCUUGAAUAAAGUGUCACAAGAUAAUAAUAAUAAUAAUAUGCAAGGUAAAAUGCAAUUAUUCCAAAUAAUAAUAUUCAAGGUAAAAUGCAAUUAUUCCAAAUAAUAAUAUUCAAGGUGAAAGUGCAAUUCUCCCAAUUAAUAAUAUUCAAUAUGAAAAUGCAAUUCUCCCAAUUAAUAAUAUUCAAGAUGAAAAUGCAAUUCUCCCAAUUAAUAAUAUUCAAGAUGAAAAUGCAAUUCUCCCAAUUUGACUUUUAACUUUGACUUAAACCCUUAACUCAAAUGAUUAAUGAAUUAACUAGAGUUAGGUUUAAUAUCGAUUGGCUUAUUUAACCCCUAUUGAUUAAUAGUGUAAUUAGGGUUUAAAUUGACAUGAUUAAAAUAUAAUCCUAUGUCGACAAUUUUGAUUCUACAGUAACAACAUAAUAGCGGAGGCAUACUACUAAGUAGCAUAACACAGUAAUAGGAGAGGCAUACUGUACAGUAGGGUAAUCGUAAUAGCAGUAAUACAAUAUAGUAGCGUAAUAACGUAAUAGUACUACAUAGUAGCGUAACACCAUAAUUGCAGAGGCAUAUUACAUAGUAGCGUAACACCGUAAUAGCAGAGGCACACAACAUAGUAGCGUAAGCCCGUGAUAGCGGAGGCACAUGACAUAGUAGCGUAAGCCCGUGAUAGCGGAGGCACAUGACAUAGUAGCGUAACAAAGUGAUAGCGGAGGCAUACUACAAAGUAGCGUAACACAGUAAUAGCGGAGGCAUACUACAAAGUAGAGUAACACAUUAAUAGCAGAGGCAUACUAGAGAAUAGCGUAACGUACACCGUAAUAGCAGAGGCAGACUACAUAGUAGCGUUAGACCGUAAUAGCGGAGGUAUACUACAUUGUAGCGUGACAUCGUAAUAGCGAAGGCAUUUUACAAAGUAACGUAACACCGUAAUAGCGGAGGCAUACAACAAAGUAGCGUACCACCGUAGCAGCAGAGGCAUACAACAAAGUAGCGUAAUACCGUAAUAGCAGAUGCACACUAAAAAAUAUCAGUUGACAAGGUCAUACUAGCAAAACUACAUAUUAACAGAAGCACAAUAUCUAUUUGGUAGGUAACAUUGGAUAUUAGCAGAAGAACUAUAGAUAUUAUGGGAGUUCGGAAAAAGGGUAACAACGUACGUGCUUAAAAUUUGAAUGUUUCUGGUUCAUAAAAUAAAUUAUUUCUGGUCCAUUUUAAUGAUUAGGAGAUGUUGGAUAUUCACCAGUAGAGGAAAAUUUUUUUUUCAAAUGAUUGUCAGGAGUUUUAGCAGUUCCACAACUUACAUUAGCGGAGUUAGCAGGAAUUUGAGCAGAGGAUUGCCCAAUAUCAGCAAAGGCAUUGGACAUACUAUGAAUCAAAAAAAUUGCUGCAUACGUUAUCAGGAUCCAAGGAACGAGAAACAUUGACACUGGAAUCUAUAGGAUUAACAUUGGUCUGACAAUGAGGGGAAUUGAAUUGGUAAUUCAUAUUAUUUGGUAUUUUAGCAGUUCCGUAGCUCAUAUUAGCGGAGGAUUCCUUAAUCUCAGCAAAGGUACAUUGGACAAAAUCCGACUGAAAAAUGUUGCUAGCAGGGGCAUCAGGAUCCAAGGACGUCGACAAAAUCAACGUUGGAAGGAAUAGUAUUGGCAUUUGUCUGACAUUGAGGAGAAUUAAAAUGAAAUUUCAAGCUAACGUUGCAAGAUGUAUUUGUGUAAUCGUAUGUAAACUGUUGUGAACGAUAUGGAGGAGGAGUCACGAAAAUUGAAUUGGUGUUGGGGGAAACUUGCAGGCUGGUAGGUCGAUGUUGAUUGCGAAAUGAUAUUGAAGAAGCCAUUAUAUGCUAUGGGGGAAGACAAUAAGUAUUCAAUGUAAGAAAAAUUCUUGUAGACGGAAAUUUGGCAAUCAACUACAGAAAUUUGAACAGAGGUAGACGGAAAUAAUUUAAAAUGGAGGGAGAGAGAGAGUGUAAGAGGUAGAAAAGAAAUUAGAAAAAGAAAUCGAUAAACAUUCCGGCAGGGAAGGAGGGGGGACGGAGAUACGACGGAGGAAGAAAAUCUUGAAAAAUCCGGCAGGAGAGGGAGAGACGACGCGGGGAGAAAAAAAUGAAGAAGAUGUAAAAAUGGAAUGUUACGUAGACAGCUAGAAAUGGAAUAUGUUGACAGCUUUAAAAAAAAAAAUUCUAAAUCAGACAAUGACAGAAAUUGAAUGUUACGUGAGAGAGGGAAAAAUAAAUGAAAUUGGAAUAAAUUAAAUGAAAAAAUGGAGAAAGGAUGACCUGUUGCAACAGGUAAAUAAUCACGGACGGAGAGGAUUGGUCAGAAAAAACGAAGGGCAGAGAUUAAGUUCGCAUAUGAGAACCCAAAUGAGAGGUUCUCAACUGAUAUUUUUUGUAUUUAUUUAAGAUUGGUAUAAAAAUCAAGAAGUGAGUAUGAAAAGGGUGCUACUGGUACGGUGCACAAUUGAAGUAGAAAGCUUUAUUUCUCACAUUUGUAAAGAAUUCAAAUGUAGAGAUUUGGAAAUACUAAAGCAUUUCUUAAGGAUGGAGGUGAGUUAUGAAGGAAAUAGAAUAAUAAAAAUUGACCAAUCAAGAUAUGCAUUAGAUAUCUUAAAGAAAUUCAAUAUGUUGACCUGCAAACCAUGUACAUCACGAAUGACUAAUGGUUUGAAACUAAUAAAAGAUGAAGGAGAACUAUUAAAAGAUCCAACAUCAUACAGAGUAAUGAUAGAGUUAUUGCAAUAUUUAGCUCAGACUAAACCAGAUUUAACAUAUGUCACAAAUCAAGUGGCACAAUUUUUAAAAGAACCAAGAACAUCCCAUUUAACUGCUGCUAAAAGAAUUCUCAGAUAUCUUAAAGACACCUUAAGGUAUGGUUUUCAGUUUUCUACAUAUAAAGAUCAGAACUUGUCUGGUUUCUGUGAUGCGGAUUUUGCAGGUGAUCCUAAUACAAGGAGAUCAACAACUGGUAGUUAUGUGUACUUAGGAGGGAACUUAAUUACAUGGAUGUCUAAGAAGAAGACUACAGUCUCAAGAUCAUCAGCUGAGGCUGAAUACAAAGCACUUGCCUAUGUAACUGCAGAGUUAAGAUGGUGCUCAUUCAUAUGUAGAGAUUUACAAAUGCCUAUUGGGCAUAAUCCUAUAGUCUAUUGUGAUAACACAUCAACCAUUUUCAUGGCUUUUAAUCUAGUAAUUAGACAAAAAUCAAAACACAGAUUAUCACUUUGUAAGAGAAUUAGUAGCUGUUGGGACUCUUAAGAUUAUUCAUGUAUGUUCAUCAGAUCAAUUAGCAGAUCUAUUCACCAAAGCAGUGAAUCAUAAUCUAUUUAAGUCACUAUGCAAAAGAUUAAGAAUGUUCUAUCCAGACGGAUAGUGUAAUAUUUAGAAUAAAGUAUUUAAUUUCACAAUUUUUUUCUUUUCCUUGUGUGUUUUAUUGUUGUUUCUAUGUGGUGUUCAACUAUAGAACAGAUAAGUGCAGGUAUAGGACUUAUGCAAGGAAAUCCAGGGCUAAGUAAUUAUUGCUCAUGAAUUUUUUUUCAAUCUAUUCAAUAAUUAGAAAUUACUUCCAGUUCAUUUCUCUUUCUACAGAUAACUGGAUCAGGAAAAAUAAAGCAAAUGCACAGAAUAUAUCCAGGUAUAUUCAUCCAAUUAGUGUAUUAGUUGAAGUGAUGACAGAGUUUUCCCAGAAAGAAAACAACCAUUGGGUUUUUUCAUCCCUCAUCAACUCAAGUAAUCAAUAGUUGUUGACAUGGAUGGGGCAAGUGGGCAGUAUUUGUCUAUGAUCAAAUGUUACAAAUUCCAAUUCAAUUAUAUAACAUUUGGGAAGGAAUGUGACGACAGUUGUUAGUUAAUACUAAUUCAAGUAUAUAACAGUUGUUGGUAAUAGUUGGAUUAUAAUACAAAUGUUAAUAGUUAGUAACAGUUGUUAGUUAAUCUAUUAACUAUAAAACAGUUAAUAGAUUAAUAUCUAUAUAAAUACAAACGUAUUGUAAUAGUUUGAUUAUUCAAUUUCAUUGUAAACAUUUUCUGUGUAUAACUUCAGCUUGUAAUCUUCUUGUGAGUUUGCUUCACACAAUGGACCAAGGGGAACCAGUCAUGUUGAACAUACUACUUUGGGUACACCUUUCAGGUUUCGAUAGUAAAUUCUGUAGCAGAGAGAUAGUAGAAAGGAUAGCUAGCACAUUAGGACGGCUGAUGAAUGGGCACUACAUGAUGAGUAGGGAAAGAACCACAACGAGGAUAUGCAUAAUGAUAGAUCUGAGUUUCUCAUACCAGUAGAAAACCCAGAAAACCCAGAAAACCAGAAGAGUAGAGGUUCGAAAAACAAAAGAAAGGCGACAUGCGCGACAAAGAAUGCCGACGUCGCUGGGCAAUGAUCAACAAAGAAUCAACCUAAACCAUCCAUAACCCUGGGAUGGUUUUUUUUGAUAACGGAGGGUACCUCUUUACAAAUGUAGAGCUUUCAACCUCCAGAUGAUAUACUAGUGCCACAUAAUAUAUCAUCGGGUAAAUUUAAGUGAAAAUAUAUACAAAGUAAGAUUCGAACCUUACUUUAUAUACAAAGAAACUUUAAUAGUUCCUGAGACCAAUGACCCAACCUUACUUUAUCCCGGGAAUGGCUUUCAUGGUUUAGAAUAUUGGGGGAUUCAAUCACGCUAAGAAGAGGCGUGAGACUAUGAGAGUCAUUGAGAAAUCUGAGGCUACGAUUUGUGGGUAUUCUAGAAACAAAAAUAAGGAAAGGAAGAUAAACUCCGAUAAAUACUUAUUUUGGACAGAUAUUUGGACAGUGUAUCGAACUAGAGUGCAGUAACCCCAGAUAAAGGUGAUUCCAUAUGGGUCAUCAAAACACAAUACAUUCAUAUGAAAUUUAUAAAUAGUGGAGGGUUGAUUGUAUUGGCAACAAUAGUGUAUGGCAGUAAUAAUGAAAAUGAAAGAGAGGAUAUAUGGGAAGACUUAAUUGGAAUUUCAAGAACAGUAAAUGGGGAUAGAUGGAUUUUAUUAGACAAUUUCAAUGAGAUUGGGACAAGGCAAUUACAAUGAUAACGGUUCUUGCAAAUUCAGAAAGGUUAUAAAUAAGGCUAAUUUAACAAGAUGCGAUAUGAAUGGAGCUGAUUUCCCAUGGAAUAGAGAGGCAAAAGUGAAAAUGGGAAAUGGAGCAGGUUAGAUCACAUCCUAUUGAACCAGAAGUGGUGUCAAUGCUGACCGGGUAGAACUACAAACACUUUCCAGACAGGAACUAGUGAUCAUUUGGCGUUAAUACUCAAAAUUCAGCCAAAAUCAAAGCAAAAUCCCCCAUUCAAAUUAUACUCAUCUUGGUUAAGUAGAGUUGGAUUUAGGGACAUAGUUCAAAUAUGUUGGUCAAAGAAAGUAUCGGGAUCCAUCACAUACAUAAUAGCACACAAAUGGAAGGUACUGAAAAUGGGAAUCAAGGUAUGGCUGAAAAAUCAACCUCCUAUCUCACAACAAGUGGCACAGGGAUCUGCUACACAUAAUCAACUCUGAUUUAAUGGAAGAUCCAAGCAACUAAGGAAUAUAAGCAAGGUGAUAAAAUUAAAUUUAUCUCCAUUUGCAUAGCUUGCACAUUUUAUCACAUCUUAAGGAUACUCCACUUCCUGUUGACACCAAGAAUGAGGGUAUGGGAGUGAUUGGCAACCUUAACUGCCUUGCCACCUCUUCCUGAAGAAAAUUGUGGGUAGAGCCAGAGUCUAGCAAGACAGAGACUCUUAGGUUAUUAAUGCUAGCUGAUAAUUUCAAAGUUCUUGGGCUCAAUUGACCUUGUAAAGAAUGGUAGCUUAUGUGAGUGUAUUCAACUCUUAUUUCUUCUACUGCAUCAACAAAUUGCUCCUCUUCUUCAUUCAAAGUAUUCACCAUCUGCAGAUAGUAGAAACAACCUUCCCUUGUAUUUAUGACCUCUUUCCCAUUUUUCAGUGCAAUUAAAACAUUCAUUCUUUGAUCUCUUUAUUCUCAUCUCAUCUGGUGUACGUGAGUUUCUGUCUUAACAUAGGUCCUUUUUAGGGUUUUCAGUUGCAGGUAAUGCCAAUGCCUUCUUGUGUGGUGGUAUGUAUGGUUGCAAGGAUCUAGAUGGCUUAUAAUUCAUUUCUACUGUUAUAGCUCUUGCAGGUGGGCAGUAUCUUACAAUAUCAGUAGACAUGCCAUUUCUCUCAUAAAGUUGGCCUAGAGCAAAUGCUUCUACUAUGUUUUCAGGCCUUGUUUUAGUGACAUCCUUCUGUAUCUCAUUUUUUAAGCCAGACAUGAACAUUUCCUUCGUAAUUCUUGGGUUAAUAUCAGUCACCUUGUUAGAUAGAGCUUCAAACUGAUGUUGAUACUCUUUUACAAAGCCAGUUUGAACAAGUUUACUCAAUCUGCCAGCAGGUAUCUCAUAGGUUGAGGUUCCAAAUCUUUUCGCCAAAUAAUCAUCUAGAAAAUCUGACCAAGAUUAGAGCAUUGUUGUUGUCAGCCCACAUGAGCCUCUCUAAGGCUUCCCCUUCCAUAUUAAAUGUAGCCACUGUGACUCUCUUCAUCAGGUAUGUUAUGAUACCUCAAAUAUUUCUUUGCCUUAUAAAUCCAGCCCUGAACAUUAUCCCCAUCAAACUUUGGCAUUUUUGUCCUUAUAAAAUUGUAUUUCAUUUCUUGCUUUUGCUGAAUUUGUGCCUCUAGGUUAUUUAUUAGUAACAAUGUUUCACUCUUUUUUGAUAGAGUCAGUUCCAUGCUUCUCAAUCUUUCAGCUUCAGUAUCCUAUUUUAUUUGGAGUCUUUUGAGUUGGACAUCCGUAGAUUCAACCAUUUCACAGAUAAUGAUAAACAAUCUGAAAUAUAAAUUGUAUCACUGAGUAGAAGAACAAGUAAAGAUAGGGAUGAUUAAAUAUGUCCCUGAUCCGGACCUCUUAAGCAGAGAACACGCUUUUGGAGAGUUUGUUUGUAAGUUUUAUAGGCUUAUAAAACCUUCUUCAGAUGUUCCUCAGAUAUGAUCAGUGUCCCGAAAAUGUAUCGCAUUCAAUAAUAGAAAAUGAUACAGAAUCUAAUGGGGUCUAUACGUUCCUGAUUAGGAUCUCUUAAGAAGAGAACAUGCUUUUGAUUUGUUUUUUUUUUGUAUUGCAAAGAUUAAUCUUCUGAAGAUCUUCAGAUGAUCGUCGGACUCUGAGCAAGGCCCGACUGGCAGGAGGGAUUGAAAGCACCAAUGAUAGAUGGAACUAGGGGAGGAUCAAAGGAAGUAUUGAGAGACGGCUGCAAUGGAACAAUUUCUCUGAAUUAAGGUUGCUUCAACCCAGAUUCGUUUUUUGUAAAACCUUAAAUUCAUUAAUUAAACAAAAAUACAAUAAGUUUGCCUUUUAUAGGGCUACACGUUUUAGACUCACGAUAACUAAAACAAACAUGCAUCCUAACAUAAGCUAACUAAUUAACUACUAUUCAAUUCAGUUCGAAUCCCUUUAGGCGCGUCGAUUGCGUCUUCUUCCUCACUGGUCGGCCGAUCUCAACCUUGCCAUCGUCAUUCUCUGUUUCAUCAAGUGCCGCCAUGCUCGCCUCCAUGUUCUGCUCCAGUUGUAGACGAAUGUCACCCAAGAUAGCCCCUUCGUCCAGUAAUUGUCUAUCACAAAGCUUAAUUGAUCAAGAGGAACAAGACAUCAAACAGAAGAGUAGAGUGAAUUAGUCAACAUUAGUGAAUGCCGACUUCAGUAAUUGGAAGAACGGGCGGCAUCGGUCCGCUCCCAGUAGCAAGAACCAACCUUUGUACUUCCUUGAUUGUUUUCGGGAGGACCAUUGCUAGGACUGCCUCGACUUUUUCCGUCCGGGGUGAUCUUUUGUAUCCAAGGAAUUGUCCCUCUGUCACCCCGAAUGCACACUUCUUGGCCAUCAGGCGUUGGCCCGCCUGUCAGAUAUUAUUGGCGAAAGUUUCUUCCAAGUCAGAUAAGUGGUUUCGUUCCGUCUUGGAUCGGAUCAGGAUAUUGUCCACGUAUAUCUCGACAUUCCUUUUGAUUUGGCUCGUGAAGGUCCGGUCCAUGAACCACUGGAACGUUGCCCCUGCGUUCCGGAGCCUGAACGGCAUUACCCGGAAGUAGAACGUCCCUUGUUCGGUUACGAAGUACAUUUUUUUUUCGUCCUCUUUUGCUACAGGUAUCUGGUUAUAUCCAAAGUGUACGUCCAUAAAGGUGAGUAGCGUUGAGCCCGAUCUUUUGUCCAUAAGGUGGUCUACCGACAGGAGGGAGUAGCUGUCCUUCGAACAUGCUUUGUUCAUGUUUGUGAAAUCAACGCACAUCUGCCACGUCGAGGCCGCCUUUUUGACCAUAACUAUGUUCAACAACCAUGAAGGCCAAGAUAACGGACCAGGCAGAUAAACCAAGCCUUGAGUAGCUUUGUAAUUUCUUCGUUUCCCGCUUCCCUCCUUUCGGUCCAGAUAGCAGGCACAUCUUCUGCCUUAUAGGGUGGGCGCCUGGUGUCAUUCCGAGCCUAUGUUCCACGGAGGUGCAGACCACACCAUUAUUGUCCUUCAGGUUAUGCGCGAACAUGUCUUGAUUCUUUCUGAGCAAUUUUAUUAAUCCAGACCUUAGGGUGGGACUAAGUUAUGCCCCGAUCCUGAUUUGACCUCGACCGUGGGGGAUGCUGGCUCUGGCCUGUGCACUUCUUCCCGAGUCAUAUGGGGGAGCCCAUCGCUUUCCUUGGAGGCUGCUAGUACUUCCUCCAUUUAGUUUGUAUAACAUUCUCGGGUGGUUCUCUGUGAUCUCUUUAUCGUGCAUAUUCCCGCAUUUGUUGGAAAUUUCAAGCACUGGUGCCAUGAUGACAUGACUGCUUGAAAUGCGUGGAGGGCCACUCUUUCGAGUAUGGUGUUGUAUCGCGAGUUGAUUCGAACAACGAUGAACUUUAUCCAUACUGUCGUUGUUUGCGUACCUUUCCUCAAAGAUACGGGGAUUGUGACUUUCCCGACCACCGGGAAUUCUGUCUGUCUGAAUUCUCGUACUGGAACACGGAAGGGGAUUAGGUCCUGUUCGCCUAGGUGUAGCUAAACGAACGUAUUCCAGUUGAGGAUAUUGAUUAAUGCUCCUGUAUCUACUAGUACUCAUUGUAGUCUAACCUGGCCAUCGUUCUUUCUUUGUAGUAUUGGCGUUAUGACCAGGAGGUCGUGGUGCGGGAUUUUAUGCCCACUAAAUCGGCAUCCGUGAAUGAGAUCUCUUCCAAUGGCUUCCUUCUCUUUUCGGGGGUUGCUGUGCCGUAUCCUUUGUGCACAGUCGGGCUUCUGCUGAGUCCUGUGCUCAUGAGGUUUGUCCACCGGAUAUUGUAAAAAUAUCCUCCACUUCGAGCUCGUCAGGUUCCACCUUUGAGGUUCUGUAACCGUUGGGUAUGACCGCAGGUCUUGACGUUGGGGCCAGGCUCGGGGUUGUUUUGGGAGUUUUUAGCUGCUCGAUGGACUUUUCUAGGCUUCUGUACUCCAUUGUGGUAUGACCCGAAUCCUGGUGGUAUUCACAGUAAUUUCCAUUUUCCCGGUAUGUCGUUGAUUCAGAUCUCAUCGGGCGUGCUUCCGGGGGCGCGCCUGCUCCUUUCGUGUUUGCGGGGCCCGACAUACGGUGCAUUCCCUUUGUUAUUCUGGUCCCUCAAGGCCUUCUUCUUGGGUGGGGGCAAUGCUUCGUAGGAAGAAGAUGCUCCCUCCUUUUGGUGCCAAUUGUUGUAUCCCCCACCUCUCCCCUUCUGACGUUGUAGCGCCUGCUUGAAUUUUGGAGCCAGAUACACCUCCACAUUCAUCGCACCUUAGGCUUUGGACAUGGCCUCGGAGAAUGUCUUAACUUGACCUUGUGGUCGAUUAGCUCGACGACGAACCGUGUCCCUCUUAACCUGUUGAGCAGAGCCAUUAUUAUUGCCAGCUCCUCGAUCUGCUUCCUCCAGUUUCUGGAACAUCGCAGUGAAUCAUUUUAUAUAGUUUCAAAGGGUAUCGUUGUUGCCCUUGGAGACACUUAGGAGGGUUGUUAUCUCUUUCUUCCUCUGGGUGCGGAACACGAAGGUUACAUGCUCCUCUGAGAGAGGAGGGGGGUUCGUUGCCCCUCCAUGCUCGAUCUCCUCAAGCUUUAAGAAGCUCAUCUCUUCCUGAAUUUCAGAGUCUCGGAUUGUCUUUCUGUUGCUCGUCAUUAGGAAAAUUGAUUUUUGAUUCACGUUAGGUUCACGUCGGAAUGAUGGCCUUUACAAUCAAGCUAAAUCUCUCUCUCUCUCACUCGAGUGUAGACUCUGUAGAUUAGAUAACCUACUGCCUACCUUGAGGUCGACAAUAUUAAUAGCCCUGCCAUCCUAUUAUCGGGUCGGACAUUGGUACUCCUGGAUCCCGGGCCGAGAUUAGAAAUUUAUUAGGCCAGACCCAGGUCGGGUUCGGGUCGAGAUCUAGGCCGGAUCCUGGUCGGAUUUGGGGUCGAGUCCACUGUUGUUAUCUUUGAGCUGAAGGUAUCAUCAACUAUAUUUUUCAACCUCAUAACUGAGCAAUGGAAGGCAAGAAAUUCCCUUCUAAGGUUGAUUGAUGACAAUGGGAACAAUCUGAACUCAAGGCAGGAAUUAGAGGCAAGGACAAUGACUUAUUAUCAGGAGCUAUUUGCAUCAAAUAGGACAGAGACAACAUAGAAUACAAUUCCUUGGAUUCCAAAAACCAUAACAUAGAGAAUGAACUUAUGGCUGAAAAGAGUUCCAGCAGAAAAGGAAGUGUAUGAUACCAUGGUAAGGAUGAAAUCAGGGACUGCCCCAUGCCCAGAUGGGAUUACUACUGUUUUUUUUAAAUAUUGGGGGCAAAUAAAAGGAGUUAUCAUUGAGCUGGUCAGAUCUUCUUCCAAGGUACUAUGGAUAUUGCAUACAUGAAUCAUACAUUCAUCACCUUAAUUCCUAAAGUCCAAAACCUAAAUGAAAUUUCCCAAUUUAGACCCAUUUCUCGUGUCAACACCACACAUAAAUUAAUUUCAAAAAUCCUAUCCAAUAGACUAGCAAUAUUACUUCAGAUAAUAUUGAAAAAAAAGAUUUCGCCAUUGGAAAAAAAAAAAGAUUUCGCCAAAUCAAACUGCAUUUGGGAAAGGUAAAAAUAUUUCAGAUAAUUCCAAUCUUGCGGAGGAAUUAUUGAAAGGUUUUGAACAAAGAGCCACCCCAAAAAGAGCACGCAUUACAGUAGAUCUAAGGAAAGCUUUUGACUCCAUAAGUUGGAAAGCUAUCGAGAAUACAUUGGUAGGGAUGGGUUUCGAAAUAGAUUUCAUUGGGAUGAUUAUGAAGUGCAUAACUACGAAUUCAUUCUCUGUAUUAGUUGAAAGGCAGCCAUCCAAAUAAUUUAGGGCUUAAGGCAAGGAUACCCACUCUCUCCUAUAUUCUUCAAUUUGGUGAUGGAAGGUCUAACUCAAACAUUUUAAGGGGUGGAUCAAAGAGGGGAGAUUCACAGUUACAUAAUGGGAGGGGCUAAGUCAAUAUCGCACCUAAUUUUUGUGGAUGACCUACUAUGCUUUUGCAAAGUAAAUAGGAAGUCAUUAGGAACAAUUAAGAGCAUAUUACAAAGCUUCUCAGAAUUUUCAGGCUUAAUACAAAAUCUGGAGAAGAGCGCAUUAUACUUAACUCCUUCUAGGCAGAGAGACAUAGAAAUUCAAACCAUUCUAAAUUUUCCAGUUAAAUGGCUGUAAAUUAAACACCUUAGCUUGCCAUUAGUUUGAUUGAAGAGGCGACUUCAAAACUGAGUGAAGAAUUUACACUAAGAAGAUUUGGGGAGCUUUCAUUUUUUCUUGAGAUUCAAGUAAAAUGUAUUGGGGAUACCUUGCACUUGAGUCAAACACAAUACUUGGUGAAUCAUUUCAAGAGUUAUGAUUUUGACAACUUGAAACCUUCCAUAUAUUCCAUGGUCACUAAUCAAGAUCUUCACUCGGAUGAACUACCUAUCGUUCAAACUAAAGAAUAUCAUCGGAUUGUUGGUUCACUACAAUAUCUCACGCUUACACGGCCAGAUAUUCAGUUUUCGGUGAACAAACUUUCUCCAUAUAUAGUGGCACCCAAACCUCCUCAUAGGAUAGCGUUGAAGAAAAUUUUACGUUAUCUUUCUGGUACUCAAAGGUGAGGAAGUACGAUUAGUAAAAUGUCAAAGUUCACUAUUUCUGACUAUUGCGAUGCUGAUUGGGGAGGAGAUACGGAUGAUCGUAAAAGGCAAACAUGUUUCUUAAUUUAUAUUUGUGAAAUCUCGUGCCUUGGAAUUCUCGUAAGUAAUAUGCGGUUGCUCGUUCAAGCACCGAAUCGGAAUACCGAGUUAUUGCUACAACUAUCACCGAGGUUGAGUGGAUUAAAAACUUGUUGACCGAAUUGGGGAUCGAGAUAGAAGGUCCCAUAAUACUUAUAUCAGACAAUUUGAAGGCAACACUUCUUCCUUCUAAUAUGGCUUGUCACACAACUUAAACACGCAGCUAUGGAUUUAAAAUAUAUAAGGGAAAUGGUUGAAGCAGGUUCGGUAGUUGUCUACUUAUCUCACAUAUUUCCGACAAGCACCAACGAGCUGAUAUGCUGACAAAAGCUCUUAGCCCAAGCAUGUUUGUAGAUCAUACGAGGGCAUAUUGGCACUAUUAUUUUAGGAAAUGUAUUGAUUAUUGACACUGUUAUUAGUAAUAAUCUAGUUUAGGAAACGUAUUGAUUUUCCAUUGAUUUAGAAAAUCCAUCACAAUCAAUGAAGGAAUCUCAAUUGAUUUAGGAAUCUUGUAUCGUCUUCCUUACCGACGACAACGGCUCCACUUCUUCACCCACAAAAAAGGUUUGGAGAUUGGGAGAAAAUUAAUUGGAAAAAAAUCUUAAUUUUUAUAAAAAGAGGUUUAAUGAAUAAAACUAUAAGGGUCAGAUUAUAUUAAAAUUCAAUUAUUAAAAACAAUUGUAAGUUUUUAUAGUAUAUAAAACCAUCAAACAUAUAUAAAUCAUAAAUAAUUAAUAAGAAAACUUUAAAUUGAUUUUAUUUCAGUAAUCACACAAAUUUAAUGCAUAAUCUGAAAAAUAUAAAAAAUGCAUAUCUUAUAUUCUUAUUUGUAGAAAAAGGAUAGUUUUUUUAAGUUUAAAGAAAUAAUCUCUAGAACAUACAUCAUGGGUUCAUAUUACAAAAAACGUUAAAAGGUAAAUCACAAAGUAUUAAAGAAGUAAACAAGAAUCCUAGAGUUCUACUGGGAAAGAAAGAGAAAGAUCUGGAGAGAACUGGAUUCGAAGGCCAAAGCACUAAUCAUGUACUCUUUUCUUUAGACUCUACUUCAUUAUAAGGUCUCCAAAAUUGGCAUCCAAUCCACCAACCAAUAGAGUUAUUAUAGGCACCAUAAAAGUUGAUACCUUGAUAUCGAUUUAAGAUGCUUUUGGUUUAUUUUUCUUUGAGAAUACAAGGAUGUUUUUUCCAGAAUUGAUCGCCAAUUAUAUCCACAUGUCCAACUAUAACCUUGGUUCGACUUCUUUUUAUAGGCUCACCAUUAUCAUCCAACUUAACCGUUUCUUCAACCUAGCAUAAACAAUAAAUCUUAAUUCAAUUGCACAAAAAUAGCAUGUUUUUUAUGUAAAAAUUAAGAAACAAAUGUUUUUCUCACCCGUUCUCUAUAAAUAGAAGAUCCUUUACGGAACAUAGCUGGCAAUUCAUUGUAAUUGAUUGAAUAAUUGUCGAAAAGAAGAUCAUUUUUCUCCUCCUUAUGAGUUCCCUGCGAAUGCGAUGUUUAUUACCUAGUUCAAAAUAUAAAAAAUAAGACUGUCUGCUUGGUAGAUAUAUAUGUACUUUUAAAAUCUCCUGAGCUUCCCCUACAGUUUUUCCAGUUUUGACUAACAUCCAGAAACAAGUGUUAUAUUGAUUGUUUAUGUGACCUGCAAAGACAAAAAUAUCAAGAAAAUCCGAAUUAUGUAACUAAAUAUGUCGAUUGAAAUAUCACCGUUCAUCAGUAUUAAUGAUAUCAUAUCAUAUCACUAAUAAUCAGAAAGAGAGAAAAAUACACACAAGUAUUUUAUUUUAAAACAUUUUUUAAUGGUAAUUACACUCACAAUCUGCUUGUCUCCAUGACAGAUAAUCUUUUAUCAUCCAAGAUUUUGGAUAGCAAACCACUCGCCCAUCAAAAUAUGGUCUAGAUUUCAAUUCUUUCUGUGGGAAGAAUUUUUUCCAAUUCAUUACAUAAGCUGAUGUGAAGAAUGAAACACUUAAUGAAAGGAGUUUGCUGCAAAUUUAGAAAUGAAACCAAACAAAAAAAAAUCAAGCUAGCAUUCCAUUAUAUAGAAUUUUCUAGUUAGCUUAGAUGAAGUUGAAAAAAAAAUAUAAUAUAAACUAUAAACAAAGAAUGUUUAAUCUUGAAGAAACCUUUCCCGUCUCUCAUAAAAUUCAGUCGUCUCCUUCCAAAUAAAACUGCAAAUGGAAACACAUUCAAUCUUUAAUUACAUUUUAUCAUGGAAAAGAGGAAGUAAAUAAAAAGGUAAUGUAAUAAUUUGUUUCAUCACCUAUAUUCAUCACUGACUCCAUAAGCGAAAACAAUGUCUGGAAAAUUCUCGAACAUGGCAGUCGCACAUGAAUUCAUCAGAUUCAAUCCACAUUCAUCAUUGGGUUUUUCAAAUUCAUGAUCACUUGUAAACCUGAUUGCAAACAUUAUGAGAGGGGAAAAAAAAUUAACUUCAAGAUUAGUAUUGUUAAAAACAAAUAAUACAAUUUAAGAACAAAUAUCCUAAAAAAGGAAGAUAAAAAAAAAACUAGUCAAACUACCGUUUGAAGUGGCAACCGUCGAUCCUGACAACGAUCCAAUUGUAUUGGGGCAGCCUGUCAUCUAGCUCGGACUUCUUUACAUACUCAUAUUUGCUAUUCGCCAUUCUACGACCAACCCUAACCCUAGAAUCUUUGUGAAAACACUCCUGAUGAGGAUUCGAUGUCUGUCGGAGAACUCUUCCUCCGGAUUAUACUCCUCUGCCGCUCAGCUACUAUUACCUUCUCUCUGUUUUCUUAUAUUUAACCAAAAUUAACUGAUUUGGGAAUUAGGGUUUUGUUAAAACUUGGGUAUAUUUCUAAUUUAAACCUAUAAUUUUUACAAAUAUAUCUAUAACCUACUAACUCCAGCAAUUUGACCUACAAAUAUCUCUCUCUCUAGUUAUCAGUCCCCUCCCUUGUUGGACCAGGGGGUAUUUAUAGGUUUUAUCCUUCCUUCUUGAUUCUCUGGGCCUUCCUUGGCCCAAACCUUUCGUAUGGUCGGGCCCGACCGUGGUUGGUUCGGUCCACGGUCCGUUGAUCGGGUCGUGAUACCAACAAUUUAGAUUAUCUUCGUGAUGUCACCCACCGUAAUAUCUAAGGUUAGAAAUAGGGGUGACAAUAACAGACACGAUUCGUAAAAACACACGACACGACACGAUUUUAACACGACACAUUUAUAAUAGUGUCGGGUUAGUGUCUAAAGUUUCGACACGAUUAAUAAUGGUGUUGGUUUAGUGUUUGUCUUAAAAACAUGAUGAUAAGGGUGGAUCCCGAUCAGUACUAGCGCGACGUUUCGAACAAGCGUAAGGCCAGGAACUCUGUCGGAAAUCGCACGGACACUCUAGUCACUCAGGCUCUUUCUGGCAGAGGUUCUUUCUCACUCCAAAAAUCUUAACCUCUAAUGAGUGAUGGUGAUCCCUAUUUAUAGGGUCCUUAUGGGGGUAAUUUGGUCAUUAGGACUCUAACUGCCCAGAUCUGGCCUGGGUCGACUUUUGGCCCUUGACCUCCUCAGAGGUCGGCUUGGCUAAAGUCGUCCAGUGGGGUCGACUUCAAAUAUUUUUUGACACCCUACCCAUAAUACUUGCAUCACACUCAACUUCAAAUAUUUUUGCAAAGUCUGGCAAUCUAAGUACUGGAGCUUGUUGUAGUUUUUUCUUUAAUACCUCAAAGGCUCUUUCAGCUUGAACAGUCCACUGAAAAUUACCUUUUUUUAAACAAUCAGAGAUGGGCGCAGCUAGCCACUGUACUCAGUGGUGUAUCUAGGAUUCUCUGACAGGGGGCAAGAUUCGUUGAAGGCGAAAUUUUUUUUUGGUACUAAUUAAAAAACCUAUACAAAUUUUGACAUGACCUAUUCAUAUAAUUGAUUAUAAAAACCUAUAAAAAAUCAAUACAUUCAUUCCAUAAUUAAUAUUCAAUGAAUUAAUUAAUAUUCAAAUUAAAAAUAAAUACAUUCAUUUAAUUAACAAUAAAAAUAGAUAAUCGUUGGAUCAGAAGGAUCAGAAGGAAGAUCAUCGGAAACUAAUGGUUUAGGAAUAAUAGAUAAUCGUUUUCUUUUACUUGUUUCUGAAAUAUCUUCUUGUGGUUGUGGAGAAGGAGUUGUCUUUUUAAAAUAUUUUUCCAUCUGUAAGACUGUAAUUUAAGAAAUAAUAUUCACUUUAAAUCUAAGAAUACAAUCCUACAUUCUUAAAUCGAACUAUAAAAUUAUAUAAGAAAUAAUGCAUAAAAUUAUAAAUCUAUCAAUUCUAAAAAUAAAAAAAGUAAUAGAACCUUGUUACCUUGGUAUUGAAGAUCUUUUUAAACUUCCGACAAAUGAAAUGACAAAUCCUUAAUUAACACGCAAGCGGCAAGCGUAGUCAACCUAAAAAAAUUCAGAAGCAUCUGUAUAAAAAAAAUAGACAUCUACAGGAGAUUGGGUGAUAUGUAGGUGAAACCUCAUCUUUAGAUUUUAUCAAGAAUAUUUAGUCUCUGGGUACAUUGUAAAAAAGAUUCAUCUAUAUAUGAUCUAUCUAUAUAGGGAGAGAGGGAGAGACUAGAGAGAUUAAUAUAUUGUGAAAUUUAUAUAUUAACUCUUAAAAAAUAUUAAUAUAUUGUGAAAAUUACACUUAACCCCCUAUAAAAAAAAUUAUUACAUAUAGGUCCUCGAUUUUUUUCCAACUUUUAGGGGGGGCAAUUGCCCUCCCUUGCCCCCCUGGAUACGCCACUGACUGUACUGAAAUCUCUGAUGAAUCUUCUAUAGAAGGAUGCUAAACCCAAAAAACUUCUUACUUCAGUAAUAUUUGAAGGUGAAACCCAACUGUCAAGUGCCUCUGUUUUUUUGGGUCUAUUUCAGACCUUGGACUCCUACUAUGUACCCCAAAAAGUGUACCUCGUAUACCAAAAAUUCGCAUUUUUUAGGUUUAAUUUCAUACUGUUAUCUGCCAACAAUUUCAAAACCUUUUCAACUUCUUUUAAGUGCUCAAUUCUGUCUUUGCUGAAAACUAGAAUAUCAUCGAAAUAUACUACCACAGAUUUAUUAAUUAAAGGUUUUAGUACCUCUGUCAUAAGUCUCAUGAAGGUUGAAGGAGCAUUGGACGUGUCAAAGGACAUGACUAACCAUUCAUAGAGGCCCUUGCUGGUUUUGAAUGCAGUCUUCCAUUCACCUCCUUCUUUUAUUCUAAUUUGGUGGUAGCCACUUUUUAAAUCUAAUUUAGUGAAAUACUUUGACCCCACUAAUACAUCAAGCAAUUCUUCUAAUCUUGGAAUUGGAAAUCUGUAUUUUACUGUAAUUCUAUUGAUAGCCCGGCUAUCGACACACAUUCUCCAUUCUCCACUUUUCUUGGGCACUAGAAAUGCAGGUACUGCACAUGGACUGAUUGAGUGCUUAAUUAAUCCAUCUUUCAUUAAACCUUCCACCUGAUUUUGUAAAAUCUCUGCCUCAGCUGGACUCAUUCUGUAAUGGGGAAGGUUGGAAAGUGAUGCUCCAGGUGUUAGAUCAAUUCUGUGAUCUAUCAAUCUGUGGUGGGGAAGUUCUGAUUUUUCUUCCUCUUUUACUGUUGGAAAUAAUUUUAUUAAGUUUGCCACAGCUGCCGAAAUACAGAAUUUAGUUGAGGCAGUCACCUCCUUCAAAACCAAUGCUAAACCUUUUUGUUUGACACUCGAUAAUUUUUUAAAUUCUGUUUGGACAACAACUAAUAGAUUAGGCUUCUCAGAAGUGUUCCCUUCGGGUGCAAGUGGAAGUAGAGCUACUUUCAACCCAUCUACUUUAAUUAUAUAAUGGUUGGUUCUACCAUUGUGUUGUGCACUUACAUCAUACUGUCAUGGCCUUCCCAAUAAUACAUGGGCUGCAUCCAUGUUAAUUACAUCACACAAAAUUUCAUUCUUAUACCUUCUACCAAUAGAUAAGGGUACUUUACAACUUUUGUUCACAGUUACUGAAUUUCCACUGUGAAUCCAUGAGACAUUAUAGGGAUUUAUUUGGUCUUCCACCUCUAAACCCAAUUUCUUCAGAGCCUUCCAAGAAAUCAGAUUAUCAGAUUAUCAGUUGAUCUAUUAUCAAUUAUAAUAUCACAUACUUUACCUUUAAUUGUGCUUCUAGUCUUGAAUAAAUUGUUCCUUUUAAUGUGUAGCUCUUGUUGAGGUGUAUGGCAGACUUUAUGGAUGAUGCAUGACAUUCUUUGACAUUCAUCUGGAGGUGUCUCAUCAUCACAUUCUUCCUCAGACUCAUCUUCAUCCAUGAGUGCUUUCCCCUUAUCAUCAACUAAAUUUGCUCUUCCUCUCUUAGGACAGUUAGACUUGUGGCUCCACUCACCACAUAUGUAACACUUAAUGUUAGUGUUUCUUAGUUGAUCAUUGGUUCUGUUAAUUAAGUCUAACAUCUUGUUGACUUUCAAAAGUAAUCUUCCUUUCCUAAGGUGUUGGUAAUAUAUAUGCCUUUCUCAUUGGGAGGAUUGAAUCUAAUGUUGGAUGGACCCCCAACAUAUUUUGUGAAUUUUUCAGCCCUUCUGUCCAGUUGGUCAGUUACUCUGAUGGUGUCCAUUAAGGUGUACUGUGGUUGCAUAAUUUUUUUUUUUGAAAUCUGCCCUUUAAUCCUUGAAUAAAUCGUGUUAUUAGUUGUUCUUCAGUUUCAUUCAAAUUAUUUAUUGAAGAUAAUCGAUGAAACUCUUUAACAUAUUCACUUACACUCCUAUUACCUUGGCAGCAUUGGUGAUAUUGAGUAAAUAGGAUACCUUCGUAAUCACUAGGAAGAAAUCUUUGUUUUAAUAAUUUCUUCAAUUUUUCCCAAGUCCGGACAGGUCUUUGAUUUGAUCUUCUCCUAUUAGUUACUGUUUGAUCCCACCAGGCAGAUGCGAGGCCUUUAAAUCUUAGCACUAUCCAACUUUACUUGUUGGUCUUCAUCAAUGUCCAUGUAAUCGAAAAAUCUUUCUACUUCAAUUAUCCACUCUAGAAACUCUUCAAUGUGUGCAGAUCCAUUGAAUGCGGGUAAAUCCAUUUUUAGCUUAUACUGACUUUGAUUUCUGUUGAAAUUUCUCGGGGCAACUUCAACAUAUUCAAUCUCAUCCAUUUGUUCUCUCCUCGUUGAUGGAGGUGAAACCCGACCAGUACUCCAAUACGCGCAAGUAAGCGCCAAGCGGGGAACUCCGCGGGAAACCGGACCGGAACUCAAGUGCGCAGAGCUCUGCUUCGCUAGGAAUCCUUCCGCUCCAAAUGACCUUCCUUUAAUGAGUGGGGGGUGCCCUCUAUUUAUAGGGGUUCUUAUGGGGGUAAUAUGGUCAUUUUGGCAGUAACCGCCUAACUGCCAAACUGAUCAGAUUGGGUCCCGGGAUCGACUUUCCAGAGAUCGACUUUCUGGGGGUCGACUUUCCUGGUGAUCGACUUUAUUCAGAAGUCGAUCCCAGGGAAGUCGAUCCUCAGGAAAGUCGAUCUUCCUUGGAUUCGACCUGGGACCUCCCCAACCCUAGAAUAGAUACCUUAACUCAUCUUAGGCUAUCCGGACUUCUAGUUGCUGGUAGGUUGUGACCGUGUUCGGGAUACUGUAUCACCAGUACUCCCCCCUCCUCUGCGUAUUAGAUACUUUGGGAUACGUCUUUUAGUACUAUGGUCUGUGUGUUGGACCUUGUACUAUCAGUAUUCCCCCUUCUUUGCGUGCUGGGAUGUGGAUUUUUGGUGAUGUCCCAGGAUGCGAGAUCCUCUCUCACCAGUAUUCCCCCCCUCUCUACGCCUGCGAGGUUGUAUCUAUGCUUCCACGGGGGUUGUCACGCGCUUUUGCCAACUAUUGUCCGGUUUGUCCUAGCCGAAGCAUACUCCUUGUGCACCUGUCUGGCCUGAUUCUCCCGCGGAACCCUGCUUGCCCACCUUGACGCCUUGCCUGAGCUAUCUUUGAGCAUUGUUUGGGUUCUCUUCCCUGUGGCGGGUUUUGAGAGUACCCGACCCCCUCCUUUUGCUCGCCUUUCUGCGAUAGGGGUUGAGUGCGAUCCCUCGUCUACCUGCGUUCAUCCGUAGGUGAGGGUUAUUUUUUGAAUACUUGCCCCCUCCUUUUGCUCGCCUUUCUGCGACUGAGGUUUGGGCGUGAUCCCUCGUCUACCUACGUUCAUCCGUAGGNNNNNNNNNNNNNNNNNNNNNNNNNNNNNNNNNNNNNNNNNNNNNNNNNNNNNNNNNNNNNNNNNNNNNNNNNNNNNNNNNNNNNNNNNNNNNNNNNNNNNNNNNNNNNNNNNNNNNNNNNNNNNNNNNCUUUUGCUCGCCUUUCUGCGACUGAGGUUUGGGCGUGAUCCCUCGUCUACCUACGUUCAUCUGUAGGUGAGGAUUAUUAUUUGAAUACUUGUCCCCUCCUUUCGCUCGCCUUUCUGCGACUGAGGUUUGGGCGUGAUCCCUCGUCUACCAACGUUCAUCCGUAGGUGAGGAUUAUUAUUUGAAUACUUGCCCCCUCCUUUUGCUCGCCUUUCUGCGACUGAGGUUUGGGCGUGAUCCCUCGUCUACCUACGUUCAUCCGUAGGUGAGGAUUAUUAUUUGACACUUGCCCCCCUCCUUUUGCUCGCCUUUCUGCGACUGAGGUUUGGGCGUGAUCCCUCGUCUACCUACGUUCGUCCGUAGGUGAGGAUUAUUAUUUGAAUACUUGCCCCCUCCUUUUGCUCGCCUUUCUGCGACUGAGGUUUGGGCGUGAUCCCUCGUCUACCUACGGUCAUCCGUAGGUGAGGAUUAUUAUUUGAGCUUAUCCCUCGUCUAACCUACGUUCUUCCGUAGGUGAGGUUUGCUCUUGAGUACGUCCCUCGUCUAACCUGCGUUCUUCCGUAGGUGAGGUUCACUCUUGAAUACUUGCCCCUCUGUCUACGUUUUUUGUAGAACGGGAUGUGUGUUUAGCCGAUGCGUCCCCCGUCUAACCUACGUUCUUCCGUAGGUAGGGUUUGCUUUUGAGUCCGUCCCUCGUCUAGCCUACGUUUCCGUAGGUGAGGUUCACUCUUGAGUACUUCCCUCGUCUAACCUACGUUCUUCCGUAGGUGAGGUUCACUCUUUAGCCGAUGUGUCCCCCGUCUAACCUACGUUCUUCCGUAGGUGGGGUUUGCUUUUGAGUACGUCCCUCGUCUAGCCUACGUUUCUGUAGGUGAGGUUCACUCUUGAGUACUUCCCUCGUCUAACCUACGUUCUUCCGUAGGUGAGGUUCACUCUUUAGACGAUGCGUCCCCCGUCUAACCUACGUUCUUCCGUAGGUGGAGUUCGCUUUUUGAGUACAUCCCUCGUCUAACACUACGUCUCCGUAGGUGAGGUUCACUCUUUUCCUUGGAUGGGAUACGCAUCCUGAUUCUGUUACCAUUAAGACUUUCUCUGCCCACGUUCUUCCGUAGGUAGAGUUAAUUUGACGUCCUACUUUGUUACUGCGUCCAGUAAUGGUAGGAGUUUAAAUAUCUUUAUAUGGCUCAACUCAUUUUGCUGCCGUAUCGCCGCCCGAGUUGUGGACUUCCACAAUUCCUCAGGAGCAUUUCGUGUCACACCCUCCUUUCUUGUUGUGCCUUCGUGACUCCAACUUGUCUGGGUUCUUUUUUCUGGCCCCCUUCUAUGUGGGAAGAAAAAGUCGAUCCCUUGUUGAGUUUGCUCGACUUUUGCGAAAUGUCGAUCCCAGUGGUGUUUGUUGACUUUUGCCAAAAAGUCGAUUCCCUGGGUCUUUGCAUCGCUUCCUUUGUGAAAAAGUCGAUUCCUGAUGCUCUGGUCCAAAAGUCGAUUCCUUGUGCCAAAAAGUCGAUUUUGUCAUUUUUUUGUCCUUUUGUGCUGUCCUAGGGUCUAUAAAUAGAACCCCUAGGUCCUCCUUUUCCUUCAUCCAUGACUCUUCUUGUGAGUCUCUUCGCUGAUUUUAUUCAGGGAGAGAUUGAGGAGUUGGAUCGAAUUCUAAAUAUUUUGGAUCCUCGGUCGUCAGCCUUGGAUCUUCCUUCUCUGCGCCAGCUUAUUGUUGAGCGGCAGAGUGUCGCUGUUGCUGCUAGGGAAUCCAUUUUCGAAGAAUGGUCUGGCGGCGAUCUUCCGCCCGUCUCCUCUUCUGUUGUCCCUCUUCGUGGCCGACGUCGGAGGCGUCCCCGUCGCGGUGCUUCUCCGCUGGAUCAGGUCCCUCGCCGCUUGUGUCGCCGUAUCAAUUUUAAUUAGAAACUUGUAAUACUUUUCAUUCAUCAUUUUUUUAAUUUUGAAUAAAUAUACUUUUUUACCUUUUCCUUUACUCGACUUACACCUUUACUCUGAAGUACGUCAGUGUAGUCGAUGCUUUCUUUUGGUCAACAUACUUUUCUGAAGAUGUCAAAAUUUAUACAAAAGUCGAUCUCGUCUCUCCCUGGAGAUGUCGAUGUUUGUAAAAAAAAAAGUCGAUAUCAUCUUUUCCUGAAGAUGUCGAUGUGUGACUACCAAUUCUAUCCUUUUCUGAAGAUGUCGGAUUUUUGACAACAAGUCGAUCUCAUUUCUCCCUGGAAAUGUCGAUGUUGCUCAAAAGUCGAUCCCAUCUUUUUCUGAGAAUGUCGAUGUCGUUUGGCUGCUGAUUCUAUCCUUUUCUGAAGAUGUCGGAUUCUUGACAACAAGUCGAUCUCAUUUCUCCCUGGAAAUGUCGAUGUUGUUCAAAAGUCGAUCUCAUCUUUUUCUGAGGAUAUCGAUCAGAAUAGUGCUGGAAUGUCGAUCCUGACCUUCUCUUUUGAAGGCAUCAAAUUCCUUGGUAAAUGUCGACGUCUAUCCUCCUUCUGGGAAUGUCGAACUCAAUUUUGUUUGGAAUGUCGAUCCUGUCCUUCUCCUUUGAAGGCAUCGAAUUCCUUGGUAAAUGUCGACGUCUAUCCCCCUUCUGGGAAUGUCGAUCUGAAUUUCUGUGGAAUGUCGAUCCUUUCCUUCUCUUUUGAAGGCUUCAAAUUCCUUGUUAAAUGUCGACGUCUAUCCCCCUUCUGGGAAUGUCGAACUCAAUUUUCUGUGGAAUGUCGAUCCUGACCUUCUGUUUUGAAGGUUUCGAAUUCCUUGUUAAAUGUCGAUGCCUUUUCCUGAAAUGUCGAUGCUCUUUCCUAAAAUGUCGAUCCCAUCUAGUCGGAUUUUGGGGUUUUUCUCGGACCGGGCCGUCUUGGGCCUGUCGGGCCCGUGGGCUUUCCGGCCCAACGGGUGAACCCGGAUGAACAGUGCCCGCGACGGUUCGUCUUCGACUUUCCCCUAUAAAUAGCUGAGGGGGGUUCACUUGUUUCCCACUCGCUUUCUUCGCUCCGACCGAUCGACUUUCUCGCAUCGACUUUCAGGCUUCUUCGCUUCGACAUCCCGCUUCUCCGCUUCGACUUCCAGCGCGCGUAAGGCUUCGACUUGAACCUUGGAGGUGCAGCUUUCUGGGGUCCGACUUUUGUUGUCGGGCUCUUCUGAGGUUGCACUGGGUUCGACUUCCUUGGGGUCCGACUUUUCUGAAAGUCGGUCCUUUUCGACGUUGUCCCCCUUUGGACUGUGGUCCGACUUUGUGAGGUUUUGACGCCUUGUCAUCGACUUUCCAAAGUUGGAUUCAUUUUUACUGGGAUCGACUUCCUGAGCCCCAUGUCUCCUGAAGGCCGACUUCCCUGGGAUCGACUUAUGAGGUCGACUUCCCUGGGAUCGACUUAUGAGGUCGACUUCCCUUAUGCUGCUAGUUCGAUUUCCUGAAGUCUGGAUCGACUUUUCUUGGGAUCGACUUUUGCCAUAACCUGGGAUGACUACCAUGUUCUUCGUGCAGGUUGUUAUAAUGUCUUCUGAUAAUGACUCGCAGAAAGACCUUCCUCCCAACAAGGAGCGGGCUAUUAUUAUUAGCCCUCAGGCUAAGACUGCUCCUGCCGUAGUUGAUUCUACUCCUGCCGUGGUUCAGACUACUCCUGCCGUGGUCGAGCCUAGAGUUGAUUCGCCUUCCUCCUCUCCUGUUGGAAGUAAGCGAAAAACUCUUUCUCGUCGUACGCGCAAGCCUGUACCUAGUAAGUUAUUAUUAUUUUUUCUUUCGUAACUUACCUUUUGUUUGUUUUUUGUUUGUAGGUUCUCCCCAUUCUUCCCUCGCACGUUUCAGUUCGGGGUCUUCUACAUCCGGUUCGGGGAGCUCGAGUUCUUCCUCCUACAACUCCUCUUCUCCUGAGCGGGAUGUAGAAAUUGGAGGCACUCCUCCUUCUAUCGUUAGGACUCCUCCUCCUACAAUUAUUUUGUCUACUAUUCUUGAGGAGGUUCCUAUUGCGGAGGAGCCAUCCGUGACUACAGACGGUUCUGCUCAACUUCCUCCCGAAGUCUGUAGUCAGAACGUUCAUAUUUUAGAUUAUCCUCCUGAGACAGAGGAGAAGUACCCCUUUCCUUCUCCUCUUGAGGAGAAAAGCGCCCCAUCCUUCUAUCGGGAGAUGGAUGGCUCUUGGCGCCAGUGGUCCGUCCUUCUUCGUAACGGUUUCCACGUUGUCCCUAUCCUCGAUCGGGGCGAGUAUGGGACUGGGUAUGGUUCCUUCUGUACAGUUUCCCUGACUGACAUUCCAGUCUACCCUCUCUCCUCUAACGAGGGCAGAUGCUCUAACACCCUUUCCCUGGAUGCCGCCCAAAGAAUUUUGAGAGGGUUAGAGCUUAGAGAGAGAGUGUACUGGGCGUAUCUUUCUGAGAAUACCGGUGAUGUGCCCCCUUAUUUUAUGUUGGCACUUCACCGUAUCUAUUUCACUAACUUUCCGAAUUCCGAUCCUUCCGAUCCCUUCUCUAGUUAGUGAAAUCCUCUUGUAUGUAUUUUUCAGAUGGGUGCCGCCUUUUUCUUUUAUGUCAGGGGCUUUAUUAAUAUUCUCAGGGAUGCUGGCAUAAUCCCCACUGCUCGGCUGUUCUUCCACUUCUUCACUUUUCAAAAUCCGAAGAAGGGCAGCCCUUUCAUUGCAUGUGCCAGCCGUGCCUCCUCUGUUACUCACUCCGCCCUCUUGAAAGAUCCUCCGACCAGGCAGAAUAAGAGUGAGUUUAUUUUUGUGGAUUGCAGGCUAUGUCCUGGUAGCAGACUUCUCACUGCAUCCACUAGUGGUCGUAAGCUUACUCCCCGUCCUGUUCUGAUCGAGGAUGAGGGAGCUUCUGUGCAAAGGCUGGCCUUUCUACAUCCUAUCGUUGUGCCUGUCGGUCACGCGAUUGAUGACACUUUUAACCGACAAGGUCUUCCUUUGCCUGUUUUUCUUUUUGUUUCUUAUGCGUAUGCAUUUUUACUAACUCUGCUUUUAUUUCUUGCAGAUUUUUAUAUGCAUAACCCUGGAGGUGUCCCUGAACGCGUUGGGCAGAAUGAAACGUGCACGAAGGUUUAUGCAUCUGCCUCUAAACCUUCUGAUGCCAUACAUUUGAGAUGCCGCGCUCAUGAGAACGCCUAUACGAGGGCGCCUUCCCCUACUCCUCCUGAAGAAGCCCCACGAACUGAGGAAGGGGAAACUACCCCUGUGCAGUCUCCUGCUGCUGCCAGGCUUGCUUCCCUCUUCCGCACUCCGGAAGAGGAGCGAGAGCGAACCACUGGAAAGGAUGUCCAGCCCGAGGGUCUGAGGGAAAAAGAAACAAAAAACGCACUCCUCCCCCCAGGACCGACCCAUCUCCUCCGAGGAAAUCGAGGAGAGACUCCCCCAGGCGACGAACUCCUCCGCGUCGGAGAUACUAUGCUGGGGAGUCCUCCCGGGGCCAAUACACGUAUUCUUCUACCCGGGAGACACAAUUGCCGGGUUACCAAGGCUCCCACCCCCGGAAUUACGGGACCAAGUUCCCGUUGGUUGCUGACACGGAUGCCGCCCGAACCACCUUGCGGACUAUAUCUGGGUAUCCGAUGGACCGGACUGUCGAAGAAAUCGGACAAAACCUGAGCAACGUAAGUACUCUUGUUUUGCUAUUCUUAUGAGUAUGUUCUUACUCGUUCUUUCUUUUUGCAGCUCGCCUAUUUGUUUCAGGGUCGCCUCUCUUCCUUGUCUCGUCUUCGUGACUACCAGUCUAUGGAAGAUGAGUUGAAGAAGGUGAAGAGCCGAUGUAAAGAUCUGGAAGGCGAGGUCAUGCAAAAAGCUUCAGACGCCUCUACUCUUUCUGCUACCAACAAGAAAUUGGCUGAGGACUGGGCUGCUCAGAAAAAUCUCUUGAGAGAUAAGGAGCAGGAACUCUCCAAAGUCAACGGGGAGUUGGGGGCUGCAGAGAUUGAAUUAGCUUCUCAACGUGCCAGGGUUUCAAUCAAAGAGUCGAUGAUUGUCGAUAUCACCCGGCAGGCUGAGAAUACUUAGGCGAACCUUCGUUCUUGUAGGGCACAAAAUGAUAUAUUUACCCGUCGGUUGAACGAAGGGGAAGAGGAAAGGAAGAAGCUCUCCCAGUCGCUGGAUGAUUGCCAAACUGAGAUAAAGCGACUGGAAGGAGUAGACCAGGAAAAGACUGAGGAGAUCCAAUGCAUGACUGAGGAGCUUCAAUGCAUGAUUGACCAUUUGGAGAAGCUUAAAGUUGAUUUUCUCGCCAAUGUGCGAGAUUACAAUGAUUUGGUGGAUCUGGGUCCUCAUGUCUGUCCUGGUUUUGAGGCUGAGUACCCCAAAGAAGCUACUGAAGUCCGAAAUCGGGCACUUGCAGAAGAAGAGGAUGAAGCAGAUGAAGAAGAGGAGGCUUCGGGAGACAAAACUACUGCCACCAUUGACAAAGAUUUCUCUGUAGAAGAUCAAGAUAACAAUGGUGCAACGGGUUCCAAAGACUUGCCCCCUCCUCCUAAAUAGAUCGAUCCUCUAUCUUAUCCUUGUUACUAUUGUAAUUUACAUUCCUCUGUAAUUCUUGUUAAAUCAAUAUAUGAAUGUAUUUUUAAGUGUUCUGAUUACUAAUAAUAGCUAACUAAACAACAUAUUAAUUAAGUAUUUCAAACUAUUACAAGAGUAGUAUAAUCCUACUUGAUCGUUAAAAAUACAACUGUAGGUUAUCUGCGUGCCAAGUGUUGGGAAUGACUGUUCCAUCUUCCCGUUUUAACUUGUACGUGCCUGGUCGGAGUUCUUCCUCCACCACGUAUGGUCCUUCCCAAUUUGCGCCUAGUUUGCCUUUAGAGCAGUCCUUUCUGCCGACACUCGCUCUUCUCCAUACUAGGCUUAAUUUCUUAUCUCUUUACCCUUGACAUUCUUGUCGUGAUAUCUAGCGAUACUUUGUUUAUAAGCUGCAUUCUUUGCCUGUGCAUUAUCCCUAAGCUCAUCCACUAAGUCCAGAGUUAUCGCACAUGAUCUUAUGUUUUCUUCCAUGUCAUAGGAUAAUACUCUGACUGUUGGAAUGCUUAGCUAUGUUGGGAUUAGUGCUUCCAUUCCAUAUGCUAGUGAGAACGGGGUUUCUCCGGUGGGUGUCUUUUCAGUGGUUCUAUACGCCCACAGGAUCUCUGGUAGUAGAUCUGCCCACGAACCUUUGGCCUGUUCGACUUUUUUCUUCAGUCCCUGAACGAUGUCUCUGUUUGUGACUUCUACUUGCCCAUUACCCUGUGGUCUGUAUACCGAUGAAAAAUGAAUUCUAGUGCCCAUGUUCUCGCACAAUCUCGUAAACUCCCCACCGGUAAACUGUGUCCCAUUAUCUGUCACUAUGUGCAUUGGAACACCGAAUCUGCACAUUAUGUACUUGAAGACAAACUUUGUUGCUGCUCCUUGAGUUAUCUUGGGUACAGCUAGUGCCUCGACCCAUUUAGUGAAGUAGUCGACAGCCACAAAUAUGAAUUUAGCCUGACCUGUCGAUACUGGAAAUGGUCCCACAAUAUCUAACCCCCACAUUGCAAAGGGGAUGGGGAUUUCUACCCCUGUUAGCUGAGUUGCAGGAUUUCUCUGUAUGUUUUUGUGUAUUUGGCAGGCCUUGCAUUUUCUUGCAAAUAGGACUGCGUCUUUUUUCAGUGUGGGCCAGAAGUAUCCCUGCCUUAUUAUUUUCUGGGCCAGAGAUCUUCCCCCUUGGUGUAUUCCGCAUACCCCUUGAUGAAUCUCCUCUACAAUUAAUCGUCCUUCAUCUGUUGAGACACAUUUCAUUAGAGGUCCAUCGUAGGAUUUCUUAUACAGAAUGUCACCGAUCAAGCAGAAUCUUGAGAUGCGUGUUUGUAACUUACGCCUUUCAUUCUUGUUUUCAGGGUGUUUUUGCCCUUCAAAGUAUUCUAUUAAGGGUUUCCUCCAGUCUUCUGCCUGGAUCGUGACCAUGUUACAUGAAGAUGUAGAUGCUGAGUCAACCAGUAUCUCUCUCUGCCCCCCUCGAAAGCAGAUGCUAGCUUUGCUAGGGCAUCAACUGAGUUGUUCUGACUCCUCGGAAUCUGUUGUACUUCCACCUUGGUGAAUUGUUCCUAGAUUUUUUCUAGUGUAGUUGCGUAUUGUACGAUCAGAGGUUCUUUAACUGUGAACUCUCCUGUGAACUGUCGAGCCACUAGUUGAGAAUCUGUUCUGAUGAUUACUGAACAGGCUCCCAACCUUUUGAGGAUUUUCAUGCCUUGGAUUACAGCUUCGUACUCUGCUAUAUUAUUUGUAGCUGAGAACUGCAAUCUGAUAGAAUGUUCAUAUAUCCUUUGGUCUGGAGUGAUUAUCUUUAUUCCCACUCCUGCACCUGUACUGCAGCUUGAGCCAUCAACCUCUACUAUCCAAGGUUUUUCCUUGCUUUCCUGGGUCAUGUCUACAAUGAAGUCUGCUACUGCUUGCCCUUUGAUGGCUGUGGAAGGAACAAAAUCUACAUCGAACUCGCUUAACUCCAGUGCCCACUUCGUCAAUCUUCCGGAAGUAUCUGGCCUGUGGAGUAUUCUGCGCAGUGGAUGUUUUGUUAAGACUUUAAUUGUAUGAGCCAGAAAGUAUACUCGGAAUCUGCGUGCUGCAUGUACUACUGCCAAGACUAUUUUCUCCACUGGAGGAUAUCUUGUUUCUGCCCCCUGUAGCCUUUUAGAGUAAUAAUAUAUCGGGAUUUGUUCGUUGUCCCUUUGACAUAUUAGAACUGCACUGAUAGCCUCCUCUGAAGCUGCUACAUAGACGUACAAUUACUCCCCUAUCUUUGGUGAAGUUAGGUGUGGUAGAGAAGCCAGAUGUGUUUUGAGUUGUUGGAAUGCCUCGUCACACUCUGUAGUCCAUGUUAUUGCCCCUUUUUGACUAGUUUUUAACAGCUGGAAAAAGGGUUUGCACUUGUCUGCUGUUUUGGAAAUGAACCGACUCAAGGCAUUGAUUUUUCCAUUCAGCUUUUGUACCUCCUUUAUUGUUCGAGGUGGUGCUGUUUCUAAUAUUGCUGCUUUUUUAUCUGGAUUUGGUUUUAUCCCUUUCUGCCCCACAUAGAAUCCAAGAUAUUUUCCUUCUUGCACUCCGAAAAUGCAUUUGGCAGGGUUUAACCUCAUCCCGUAAUUCUGCAGAGUUUCCAGGGUCUCUUUCAGAUCAUUUGGGUGUUCAUCUGCUUUCUUGGAUUUCACCAGAAUGUCAUCUACAUAUGCCAGGACGUUUCUUCCUUCCUGCUUUUUGAAAACCUUGUCCAUCAGCCUUUGGAAGGUUGCUCCUGCAUUUCGUAGGCCGAAAGGCAUGACUUUGUAGCAAUAUGUCCCCCAUUCGGUGAUGAAUGAUGUGGCCUCUUCAUCAUCUUCUUUCAUUAAGAUCUGGUUGUACCCUGAAUGUGCAUCCAUCAUAGAUAGUAACUCAUUUCUUGAUGCUGCAUCUACUAAUCUGUCGAUGGAUGGGAGUGGGUAGCUGUCUUUUGGACAUGCCUUGUUGAGAUCUGUGAAGUCUACACACAUCCUCCACUUCCCAUUAGAUUUUUUAACCAUGACUGGGUUUGCUAACCACUUUGGAUAUUUAACUUCCCGGAUGUGCCCAGCUUUGAUUAAUUUUUCAAUUUCAGCCUGUGCUGCCUCCUUUCUUUCAGCUGCGAGUAUUCUCCGCUUCUGCCGUACAGGAGUAAAGCUACUGUCUAUGUUGAGUUCAUCGCACGUUAUAGUACGCUGUACUUAUGAGGGUGCUUCCCCUUCCCAUACAAAUGCGUGCACAUGGGUUUCUAACAGUUGCAGUAGUGAUUUUUUCAGUUCGGAGGAUAAAGAUGUGCCUAUCAAGACUCCUCCUUUUGAGAGUUUGACCUCCUCAACUUGAUUAGAUGAGGUUGUGUCUUCUUCCUCCUCUCUUUCUUGGAUGUACAGGGUUAUAGGUUUGGCUAUUUUAGUUGCCUUCCUGUACGAGUUUCUGGAGUCUUUCUGUGCUCCAAAAACUGUUGCCAUUUUGCCAUCUUUUCCUGGGUACCUGAAGCAUUGGUGGUAAGAUGACGGUAUUGCCUUGAAACCGUGAAUGCUUGGUCUGCCCAAGAUCCCAUUGAACGGAGAGUCUAUAUUGACCACGAUGAAGUGUGCUGUGCGUGAUACUCUCCCAUUUAUUUUUCCCAGGGAUAUCUGUAGAUCGAUGGCUCCUACUACUGGGGCCUUUGUGUUUGUGAACCCAUAAAUGGCUUCCUUGGCCGGGGUCAGCUGAUUCACUUUGUAGCCCAUUUUUUCGAAUGCAGCUAGGUAUAGUAUAUCUACUGAGCUGCCAUUGUCCACCAUCACUUUGUUCAGACUUAAAUCAUCCCCGAUAUCCACUUGUAUUACUAGUGGAUCCUCAUGUGGGCUGACCACGUUGUCUAAAUCUUCCUCAGAGAAGCUUAUCUCCUCGCUUGGGUACGAUCUUUUCUUAGAUUUUGGUACCGUGGUAGUCUGCAUUACCUUGCGCGAGUAACUUCUGCUUUCUCCUACUGAUCCUCCACCGAAGAUUAAGUUUAUCACUCUUCUUUUGUGGUCAGUGUCUGAGUUAGGACUUCUUGAGCGUUGGCACUUACCCUUGUUCUUUGGGUCCUUGCAGCCUUGUCGCCCCCUUUCUAUUUUAUUUAUAUAUUGCUUUAGCUUUCCCUCCUUUACUUGUGUGUCUAGGAAGGUGCUUAGCUCCCUGCAGUUUUCUGUGUUGUGCCCGUAGUCCUUGUGGAACUUGCAAUAUCUGUUCCUCCUUGUUCGAGCCUCUUUCGUUGCAAGGUUCAAUUCUUUUGGUUGAGGAAACCUUAUUCUUCAUUUUUCUUUGUUGUAGAUUUCCUCUUUUGGAGUGCUGAAAACCGUGAAUCCCAAGUCUUUAUACUUUGGAUACCUUGAUUUUCCAAACUCCUCAGAUGUCUGGUAGACCUUUCCAUCGUGUUUUGGUCUCCAGGAUGAUUCUCCUUUCUCAAACUUUUGAAAUUUCUUUUUUGGUGCCUCAUAUGCUUUUUUAUUGUUUAUGGCACCUCUCUCUUUUUCUUUUUCUUUCUCAUACUCUUCAGAAUUUAUAUAUUUCUGGGCCUUUGUUAGCAAGUCUUCCAUGCAUUUUAAUUACUAACGUUUAGCUUUAUUGCUAAUGGCGUGUUCAUGUCUAGCCCUUUUGAGUAUGCGCAUAUUGCGAUUGUUGUAUUCAGAUCGGAGAUUUUUUGCAUGGCUUCCGUGAAUUUAGUUGUAUAAUUCCGAAGCGUGUCUCCGUUCUUUUUGAUUGCAAACAGUGAUUCCGUGCCCUUUCUGACCCUUGUCUUUCCACAGUGUUGGGCGACGAAUUUCUUUUUCAAGUCCUCGAAACUUGUUAUGCUCCCUGGCUGCAGUUCAACGAACCAUCUGUAUGUAGGCUCUUUCAGUGUUUCUGGGAAUGCUCUACAUAGGAUGUCAUCCCUUGAUGUGGCCCAUUGCAUUGCCCCCACAAACAUAUUUAUGUGGCCUACUGGGUCCAUUUUCCCAUCAUAAAUCUGCAGCCUGGGUAGCCUGAAUUUCAGAGGUGCUGGUUUUACCAUUAGCGAUUUGUGUAGGGCAUCCAUGCCUACUAGCCAGUUUGGGACCUCGCCUCCUCCUUCUGUGUCUCCCGUGCUUUCUUCAUAUACGGGUUUUUUGAGAAGAGGUUUGGGUUGCUCCUCUAGUUUGCGAGGUAGUGGUGCGCUGGAGUGUGCUGCUCUAUGACUUGACACUUCCUGUUGCACCUUGGCCUGCUUUGACGUCUGAGCUUUCGAAUGGUAUAUUGAUGCUUUAGAUUUUUCAAUAUCCUUUAUUUUCUCGCUCAUUUUUGCUAUGGUUUCCUUCAUUUUUUCCAGCUCCUCUAUAGGCAUCUUUAUGAACCCGUGAGUGGUUUCUGAUGCUGCAGCCCUUGGUUCCUUGCUGCUUGUGGGUCCCCCCUUUUGAGGUUGUUCUUCCGAAGGUUUCUCCUUUUCAGCAAGGAGUCGGAUGGCCUCAGUUAUCGCCUAAACCGUGAUGUUCAGAUUUUCCCCUCCUGCUAAAGCUUGGGGAGUUUGCUCGGGCUUACCUUCGGGUUCAGCCUCAGGUCCUGUGGGAGUUCUUUUGUUCUUAUUGGCCUUGGGUGGUCAACCCACUGGCCUUUUAGUUUUUGAGUUGCCAGGCUGUUGCUCUGGCGCCUCUUGAGAAUUUGCUCCUCCUCCUUGGGAAGUGCUUCGUGUUACCACCAUCCUGGAGUGUUCGACUUUUCUUGAAAAAGUGUUCGACUUUUGCUUGGAGAAAGUCGAUCUUCAAAAAAGUCGAUACCUAGUGCACUUGGAUGAUUCCUUGGAAGUCGUAGCCUAAAAGCCUAGCUCCUUGAGGAAUCGACUUUUUUCCUUGGGAGAAAAAGUCGAUCUUCUGAAAAGUCGAUCCCUUGCUGGCUGAUCUCCUCGCAAGACUCCCUAGCUGGCGACUUGGAGAAAAGUCGAUCACAUUUUUCGAAAAAGUCGAGGAGCUUUUGUCGUGAGUAUCUUUGAAUCACAGACGGCACCAACUGAUGGGGGUGAAACCCGACCAGUACUCCAAGACGCGCAAGCAAGGGCCAAGCGGGGAACUCCGCGGGAAACCGGACCGGAACUCAAGUGCGCAGAGCUCUGCUUCGCUAGGAAUCCUUUCGCUCAAAAUGACCUGCCUUUAAUGAGUGGGGGCGCCCUCUAUUUAUAGGGAUUCUUAUGGGGGUAAUAUGGUCAUUUUGGCAGUAACCGCCUAACUGCCAAACUGAUCAGAUUGGGUCCCGGGAUCGACUUUCUGGGGGUCGACUUUCCUGGUGAUCGACUUUAUUCAGAAGUCGAUCCCAGGGAAGUCGAUCCUCAGGAUUCGACCUGGGACCUCCCCAACCCUAGAAUAGAUACCUUAACUCAUCUUAGGCAAUCUGGACUUCUAGUUGCUGGUAGGUAGUGACCAUGUUCGGGAUACUGUAUCACCAGUAUUCCCCCCUCCUCUGCGUAUUAGAUACUUUGGGAUACGUCUUUUAGUACUAUGGUCUGUGUGUUGGACCUUGUACUAUCAGUGAUUAUUCUAAAUAUGAUAUGGCAUACAUAUUGUAUAGUAUCUCCAUGGAUUAAAGAGAGAUUUAUUUAGAAUAAUAUCUCUAUUGACAAUAUAUGAGAAUAAUAUAUGCGACAAACAAAAGAAUCAACGUGUUUUGGUCACUGGUUGCUACUGACAGAAGCAUAGCCUGUCUGGUUACUCUGGCCAAUCCUAUCUUGUAACAGAUGAUAGUUCUUCACUACUAGUGUGAUGCACUUGAUUGUGAAUCUGAACUGUGGAUUUGGUCGCCAUCACUGUUAUAGGAUUAAGAGCGUGAGCUAUGGCUUUGGUGGCCAUAACUAUUACUGGGCUGAGAGUGUGAGCUAUCGCUUUCAUGGCCAUAACUGUUACCAGACUGAGAGUAUGAGUUAUAACUUUGGUGAUCAUAACUGCUACUCGGAAACUCCUCUCUGUAUCGAGGAAAACUAGUCGAGGUUUCGGAUUGGGAACUUGUAUCCUCGUAUGUAUCUUUUUCAGCAUAGCGAGGUUUUUUUCGGCUGGGCGGCUCGAAUCCGUCCAACUUGUCAUUGUCUUCCUCUUCUAUCUCAUUGAACGAUUAAACUCGUUGAAAGAGGCCGGGCAGGGUCUCCACUUUAUGGAGCAUCAGAUUCUGGGCCAAAGGGAAGAAGAGUAUCAACCCUCUUAUGUAUCCUACUAUGGUCAGACUUGGGAUCAGCUCGUUCACUUCUGUCAUCAUUGAAGUGAACUUAAUCGUGUAAUCCCUCAGGGACAGCUUGUUCUGUCGUAGUGCCAGUAGUGCGUUGGCACUGUGUUUUAUUCUGAUCAUCCUCAUAUGUUGGGCGAUGAACUUUGAAAAGAGAUCCGCGAAGCUGGAGACCGAGCCAGCUGGCAGACUAGAAAACCACCGAUAAGCACUGCCUUUGAGAGUGUCCGGGAAUGCCCGACACAACAGCCCAUUAACGGUGGUCUGCGGCUCCAAGACAUUAAGGUAGAGGUUAAUGUGAUCUUUUGGAUCACUCGAACCGUCAUACGCUUCUAUCCUGGGUACUCGCCAGGUUGGUGGAAAAGAUCCUUUCAAAAGGUCCUUGUGAAAAGGAACACUUUUGAUUCUCAGGAAUUCGAUCGGGCUGCUGACAACUGGGUUGUCAGCCAGCUUCCGACGGAGAUCUUCUACGAACCGUUUCGUAAGAGUCUUAUUAGUGCGACUCUUACUAGGUCCAGCCCUUGCUUUAGGAGGGACUAGAGAUUUCCUCUUGUGGUCCCUUGUUUUCUCGAGGUUGCUAACUCUUUUUUCUAUGGUAUCCAUAAAGUCACUACAAAAAACCAGCGCAAUUCUGGCGGCAAAUUCCGGCGGCCAGGCUGCCGGUAUAAUGGUUCCUGGCGGCCAAGCCGACGAUAUUCCAUCGCCGGAAGUAAUGUCGUCGAAAUUGUGAAAUACCGAUUGUGGAUUCCGAUUUUAACAGAAAUGGUUCCAGCGGCUUAGUCGCCGAAAUAUUUUUUUGAAAACUAUAUCCCGGUGGCCAGGCCGCCGGCAGUUAUUUUUUGGAAAUAAUUUUCAGGCGGCCUGGUCGCUGGUAGUUUAAAUUAUUAAAAAAAUUCCUGGUGGCUAUGCCGCUGGUCAAUAUUUCCCAGUAGGAAAAAAAAUUCUCCUGGAAUAAAGUUCUGGUGGCCAAAACUUUUGAAAAAAAUUUAAAAAAAAUUUGUUUUUUUUUUUUUUAUUUUGUUUUUUAAUAUAAUUUUUUAUGAAAUUAAUAAAUUGAAUUUGAAAUUGAAAUUAAAGUUGAAUACUGAAUGUAUGACAAAAAUUUAAUUCGUUAAUUACUAAUUUAAUUUCUUUUUUUCGCUCUUCUUCUUUUUUUAGUUCCGACCACCUUUCGUAACGCCUCUUUUGUGAAGAUAAUCGGUCUUCCUCCGCACAGUUGUGGAGUAGUGUGUUCCUCUUGUGGCGUAGUUUGUUGAAACGGCGUAGUUUCGUUCGUUGGUACUUGAGGUGCGGCUCUAAAAGUUGACGCUCCAGAAGAAUUUAUGUUGAACCCUCCCACAGGAUGCGCUGCAGCGUUGUUGAAGAUUGGCAGAAAUUUCGGUAAGCGCAAGUUCGGAUUUUAAACGAGCAUUGCCGUGUUGUACUGUUCGAAAAACGUCAUUUGACGAGUCAUCGCCUCAUUCUGACGAGCCAUCGCCCUUUCGACAGCCUCGUUUACCUUAUCUUCAACCUCUGCUUCGAUCAUCGCAUCUUUUCCUUUAUCCAUGCAGAAGUUCCCGACAUUCAUCCGAUGCGUUGUCUUCUUGCUCAAUGAGGAACCAGUUGUUCCUAAUGUUCUAGAUUUCUUCGAGCUUCUACCGAUAAAUUCGGUUAUAGCAAACUUGAUUAGAGCCUAAUUAAAAAGAAAAGAUGAUAAUAAUUAAUGUAAAUUUAACUAAUGAAUUAUAUUGGAAAAAAUAUAAAAUACGUACCGUGUGUCAGUCAUAUUUUCUUGUUGAAGCAUAUUUUUGGCUUCUUCACUGUCUAUCCAUAGAACCGCUUUAUCCUUAAAAAACAAAUGAAAGUAGUCAAACAAAUAGUAAUCAACUGCAAUUAAUUUAAAAGAUUACGUACCACUCGUUCGUCUUUUGGAUAAGCUGCCUUUAUAUUGAGUUUCCAAAUUUUAAUAUCAUUUAAUCCCUUUUGUUCCUAUAGUAUUAAAAUUAGGAAAAAACAGAAAAAAGAACUUGAAAGUAUAUAUGAAAUUAAAUAAUUUACUUACAGCUUCGUAAUUUCGUUGUGCUAGACUUUUCGAACCUAAACUGUGUGAUGUUUGUUUUGCCCGAUUGUCUUUAUUAAUUUGAAAAUUUUCCUGCAUUAAGUUAAAAUAAAAUAAAGUAAUUAAGUCAUUGCAUUUAAAAAAAAGAAAUUAAUUAAUACGUACUAAUCCCCUCGGUGAUCUUUUCUCGAUCAGUUUUUUUAGAAAUUGUUCUUUGAUGAUAUAGUCGGGUAAUGUUUUCAUAACCUCUUCGACUGUUAGAUCUUUAUUAUUAUAUUUAUCUAAUAAAGCGUUAUAAGCGCUUCUCCAUAAUUUGUUUAACCUUUCAUUGACACGUCGAUAACCAAAGGUUGACCCGCUGUAAUCAAAUUCUCUCUGUUCGAUGAAUAAUUAUAAAAUUAAUUAUUAAUUAACUAUAAAAUUUAUAAAUAAUAAUUAACUAUUAAUUAAUAAACCUGUAUCGUUGACAUCGCCUCAUCUAUGUUUUUCUGGUCUUGUUCAAUCCACGGUACGUCCAUUGGUAGUAACUUAAAAUCGUUCGCGACCAUUGCGCAUUUCUUGUUUAGUUUUCUUACUACGCUAUCGUGGACAAUUUGAUCAUUUCGGAAUUUUAUUACAAACCGUUGUCCUUGUGAUGGAUGAUAUUCUGCAUGAUCUUUGUUUUGUUCUCUUGUUUUUUUCUUCAUUUGACUACUGCCAGCCGUGUUCAUGUCAUGUAGAUUAGGAUGAUCAUAAUCUUGUUCGUCAGAUAAAUGAUCAUAGUAUUCAUUCUGACCUGGAGUCGUGACGACCAUGAAAAAUGAUAGAACGAAUGCGACUAGUAACCAAUACAUCUAAAUAAAAUAAAGAUAAUUUAAUUAAUUGAAAGAUAAUAUAAAAUAAAAAUAAUAUUCAAAUUCAUUAUACAUCGUCUACAUCAAAUAUUUGUCUAUGAGGUCUGUUUAAUACAAAACUCCUAUUAGAUUCAAUAGGAUUUAUUGAAUAAAAACAUUGUUUUGCUUGUUCGGCAAAAAUAAACGGUUCUUCCCCGUAUUUUGGCAUAGACGUUUUCACACUAACCAGACCGGACUCAUCUUUUUUAUAUCCUUCAUACCAUUUGCAUUGAAACAUGGGAUAUUUCAACAUAUCGUGUCCGUAACAUACUUCGAAAACUUUGUGAAGAGUUCCAUGGUACGAAAGAUCAUCAUUUUUCGGAUCGUCAUUUGGAUUCUUUAAGUAUGUGGAUGUAGUGGCGGAGACUAAGACACCGUGAUUUUGUGUCUUUUUUAAAUUUGACACUUCAAACGAAAGAAAUUUCACUCCGUUUAAGAUGUAGCCGUUGUACGAUUUUAGAAAGAAAUUUGGACCUCUUGAUAUCGAACAAAUAUCUCGUGAAAUAUUCUCGUCCUUGCCCCUAUUUUUCUGAACAUAUGUUUCAAACCAGUUUGCAAAUUCUUUGAAAUGUAAUUUUUGCAAACGUAAGGAAGUAAUAGUCGGAUACCUAAUAUGUCAAACAUAAAUAUUAAAUAGAUACGAAAAAGAUAUAUAUAUAUAUAUAUCGAUGAUAUGAAAAUGAUUAAUCAUGUCAUAUACGUACCUUUGUUUUAGGACGUCGAUAUGAAGAUUUCGGAAUAUUUCGAUAAUAUCCAAAUUGAAAAUGAUAUAUCGAUGAACUUGACCAUGUUCAAGUUUAGUGAACGAAGUGUGAGUUGAUGCACCAUAGUAACCAUCGAUAUAUCUUUCGGUUCUAUUUGACUUAGUUUCAACGUUAUGUAAAAAUCGUGAACAGAAUGUCAUAGAUUCGUCGGCUAGAUAUUUUUCUGCAAUCGACCCUUCAGGAUGACUACGGGUCCGAACGUAUUUUUUCAAAGUCAAUAGAUAUCUUUCAAUUGGAUACAUCCAUCGAUAAUGAACUGGACCAACCACUUUCUCUUCACUUGCAAGAUGUACUACUAGAUGUAUCAUUAUUGUAAAAAAACUCGAAGGAAAUAUUUUUUCCAAGUUGCACAUUGUAAUAACGAUAUUUUUUUCCAAUCUUUCCAUAUGUUCAGCUACAAUCUCCUUAGAACAAAUCGCGUUGAAAUACUUGCAUAUGUUAACUAAAACAGAUGUUACCUUCGGAUGUGUUAAUCGACGUAACGCAAUUGGAAGUAAUUGUUGCAUUAUCAUAUGACUUUUAAAACCUGUAAACUUUCUUACUUUCAAUUUCACUUUUGAUGAGAUGUUGGAUACGUACUCAUCCGGAAAUUUGAGAUCAUGAAACACUUUACAGAAAAUCAUCUUUUCUUCAAUAUUGAGAUUAAAUAUCGCUUUUGGAAUCUUCCAUUCAGAAUCACUAAUCUUUACUGGAUGUAACUCAGAAUAAAUUUUCAUUUCUUGAAGAUCCAAACGGGUACUCAAAUUGUCUUUCGAUUUGCCAUCCAUUCUCAAUAAAGUGUUUAUAAUAUUGUCGCAAACAUUUUUUUCAGUAUGCAUAACGUCGAUAUUAUGACGUAUCAACAGAGUCUUCCAAUACGGCAAUUAAAAGAAAAUACUAACUUUUUUCCAUCCAGGAGGUAAGGACAUGACUUUCAUCUUCUUCGUUUUUCCCGAAAAUAAUAGAAUUUCUAGAAAAAUUCAAAUUCAGAAAUACCUCCUCUCCCAAGGGUCGUUUAGGCGCUUCUUCACUUUCGAUUUUGUUAUUAAAAUCCUUCUUAUUACGUCUAUACGGAUGGUCUUUUCCAAAAAACGAUGGUAUCCAAGAAAAGACUUUUUCUUUCCAUAUUUCAAUCGAACACUACUCGUUUUUUCAGAAUAAACUGCACAUGCCAAUUUUUCUUUCGUGCUCCAACCAGAAAGAUCACCAUAUCCAGGAUAAUCGUUAAUUAUCCACAUCACUGCAGCAUGCAUUUGAAAGCUAUUCUGAGUAACCACGUCAUAUGUACUGAAACCAGUGGUCCAUCAAAUUUUUAACUCAUCAAUCAGUGGUUGUAAGUAGACAUCUAUAUCAUUUCCAGGUGAGGUAGGCCCGGAAAUUAGAAGACUCAAAAUGAAAUUGGGUUGUUUCAUACACAUCCACGGAGGAAGAUUAUAAGGCAUAAGAACAACUGGCCCCGUGCUAUGAGAAACUGACAUCAUACUAAAUGGAUUAAAUCCAUCGCUUGCAAGUCCCAAUCUGAUAUUACGUGGUUCAGAAGCAAAAUCGGGAUAUCGAUCGUCAAAUUGUGUCCAUUGCAAUGAAUCUACCGGAUGACGAAGAAUUCCAUCUUUUUUCCGAUCAUUUUUAUGCCAAGUCAUACCUUUAGAAAUAUCUUUACACAAAAACAAUCUUUUAAGUCAUGGUAUCGACGGAAAAUGUCUCAAAUAUUUGCCGGAAUCCAUUUUCUUUUUUCAUCAUCAUCAGCUUCGUUCAACCACAUUGAAACAUCACAUGUAGGACAAAUUUUGCAAUCUUUAUAUUUUUUACGAUAAAUGAUACAAUCGUUCCGACAUGCAUCGAUCUUCUCAUACCGUAACCCCAAAUCACAAACAACUGACUUAGCUUGAUACAUAUUCUUCAGGAUCGUUUCCGUUCCAUUGGGAUGAGAUCGACGUAAAAUGGAUAGCAACGUCUCAAAUGAUUUAUCGGACCACUGAUUGAUACACUUACAUUGAAAUAAUUCCAAAAUAAAAGAUAGCUUUAUAAAUUCGGUACAACCGGGCCAUAAUUCUUGUUCAGCGUCUUUCAACCGAUUAACAAAAGUCGAAUCAUAAUUUAAAUCUGGAAGAUCUUCAUUUGGUUCUGGAAGAUCUUCAUCAUUAUGAUCUGGAAUAUCUGGAAUAUUUUCAAUCUCAUCAGGUCUACCCAUCGCCACGCAAACUAAAUUACGCAUUUCAUUGUUUGGUUCAUCUUCAACUAUAUUUUCUAUGUUUGGUUCUGAAUCGUAAGUUCGCUCACCAUGUUUCGUCCAUAUAACAUAAUGUGCCAACCAACCAUUCAUGAAAAUGUGUUGACGUAAAUCGGCAAUUGGAAUUACAUUUCUUUUAGUACAGUCUCUACAUGGACAUGGUAAAUAUCCUUCCUUAUAUAAACCAUGGCAUUUUCGUAAACCAUAUUAAACAAACGCCGUGAGGUCAUCUCUGAAUUCUUGGCUACAGGGGUUCAAAGUUAACCAAGCCUUAUCAGGUACCUGGAUUUCAGACAUUCAACUGAAAUACAUACAAUUAUAAUUGAUUAAUAAACAAUUAUUUAAAAACUAAUUAACAAUCAAACUUAUAGAAAAUCUGAUUGUUACUUUUUUUAAUUAUUAAUUAAUUAAAUAAUUAUUUAAAUUUAAUUAAUUAAUUAAAUAAAUAAUUUUUAGAUAAUUGUUCUCAACAUUGGAUUUUAAAUCAAGUUUUUAAUAUAAAAACUGAUUAAUGGAAUUUCCAAUAUUUUUUUAAUUAAUUAUUAAUUCAUAAUUAAUUAAAUAAUUAAUUAAUUCAUAAUUAAUAAUUAAUUAUUUAAAAACUAACUAACAAUCAAACUUAUAGAAAAUUUGAUUAUUACUUUUUUAAAUUAUUAAUUAAUUAAAUAACUAUUUAAAUUUAAUUAAAUAAUUAUUUAAUUAAUUAUUAAUUAAAUAAAUGAUUUUAAUAUUUAGAUAAUUGUUUUCAACAUUGGAUUUUAAAUCAAGUUCUUAAUAUAAAAACUGAUUAAUGGAAUUUCCAAUAUUUUCUUAAUUAAUUAAUAAUUAAUUAAAUAAUUAAUUAAUUCAUAAUUAACAAUUAAUUAUUGAACAAUUACUUAAAAAUUAACUAUCAAUCACACUUAUAGAAAAUCUGAUUGUUACUUUUUUUAAUUAUUAAUUAAUUAAUUAAUUAAUUAAAUUUAAUUAAAUAAAUGAUUUUAAUUUUUAGAACAUAUUUUUCAACAUUGGAUUUUAAAUCAAGUUCUUAUUAUAAAAACAGAUUAAUGGAAUUUUCAAUAUUUUCUUAAUUAAUAAUAUAUUAAAUAAUUAAUUAAUUAAUUCAUAAUUAAUUAUUCAACUAUUACUUAAAAAUUAACUAACAAUCACACUUAUAGAAAAUCUGAUUGUUACUUUUUUAAUUAUUAAUUAAUUAAAUAAUUAUUUAUUAAUUAAAUAAUUAUUUAAUUAUUUAUUAAUUAAAUAAUUAUUUAUUAAUUAAAUAAAUGAUUCUAAUUUUUAGAUAAUUGUUUUCAACAUUGGAUUUUAAAUCAAGUUCUUAACAUAAAAACUGACUAAUGGAAUUUCCAAUAUUUUCUUAAUUAAUUCAUAAUUCAUAAUUAAUUAAUUCAUAAUUAUUCAACAAUUACUUAAAAAUUAACUAACAAUCAUACUUAUAGAAAAUCUGAUUGUUAAUUCUUGUAAUUAUUAAUUAAUUAUUUAUUUAUUUAAUUAAUUAUUAAUUAAAUAAAUGAUUUUAAUUUUUAAAUAAUUGUUUUAAACAUUGGAUUUCAAGUCAAGUUCUUAAUUUAAAAACUGAAUUUUUGAAUUUCCAAUAUUAUUUAAUUAAUUAAAAAAUAAUUUUUAAACAAUUAAUUAAUAAAUGUGAUUUUCAUUUUUAGAUAAUUUAAUUAAUAAAUAAUUACUAAACAUUUAUUAAAAACUAAUUAAAAAUCACAUUUAUAGAAAAUAAUUACUAAACAUUUAUUUAAAUAAUUAUUUCAUUUAUUUAAAUUUAAAUUUCAUUUCAACUCAUGAAUUCUUUUUAAAUCAUGCAUUUCAAUUCAUUUCAUGACAUUUCAUUUCAUAGCAUUCAUUUCAAAAAAAUUGUAUUCAUUUUCAAUUCACACAAUUUAAGAACAUGCAUUUCAUUUUCCUAUUACUUAACAUGCAAAUUAGAUUAACUAAUUGCUAACUAACAUGCAAAUUAGAUUAACUAAUUAGAUUAAAUAAUUUCAAAUGAAUAAAAAUUAUUACAUUGAUCCGCCAAACCGCAAAUGAAUAAUCUCAAAUUCCUAUAAUCCGUAAAUACCUACAACAAAAUACCAACACAUAACAUAUCACAAACUAUAUCGAUCAACACACACAAUAUCAAAAGACAUUAAAUUUGUAAAUCACAAACCUUCAAAACUAACACCGGCCGAGAGAUGUCUGGCGUAGAAAACAGUUCGGCGGGGAUCAGAGAUCGGGAGAUGUCCGGCUUCAACCUAAAAUAAAUUUAACAUAUAAAUUAAAUUUCACUAAAUUAACACUAAAUAAACUACAAUGAACACUACAAACAGUACAUAUAUCAUACUAAAACACUAAAUAAAUUUAAAUCACAACUAAACUGAUAGUUCUAAUCACAACUAAAUUUAAAUCAUAUAUAACACUAAAUCACAACACUAAAUCACAACACUAAAAUCACAACACUAAAAUCACAACAGUAAAUCACAAUAUUGGAAACUAAAUCACAACACUAAAACACUAUAAUUAUAUAAAUCAAACCCCCAAAAUCAGUAAAUCACCAAACACUAAAACACUAAAACACUAAAUCUCUAAACAUACUAAAAACCACCAAAUUCUUAACCCUAAAACAGUAAAUCAUAUUAUAUUAUUAAUAACAAAAAACAUAACUAAAAUCAAACCCCCAAAAUCAAAACCCCCAAAAUCAAAAAAAUAAAUCAACCUAACAUCUAACCCUAAAAUUAAACCACCAAAUACAUAUAUAAACCCCCAAAUAAUAAAUACAUAAACCCUCAAUGUCAUAAACUCACAAAUACAUGAACCCCAAUGUCAUACAACCAUAACCUCCUAAUUUAAUCAAAUAACAUACAUCGAAUGAAGAACAAAAUAGAAAAUGUAGAAGAAUAGGAAAAGAUGAUAUAAAUUAUAACAUGGAGAAGAUGGAGAAGAAGAGGAAGUUGAAGAAGAAGGGGAGAAAAUAACCUUGGUGAGGAAUGGCCGGAGAUGCUCGAUCAAAUCGGCCGGAGAUGCUAUAAACGCCCUUGGGGAGGAAUGGGGAGAAGUUUGGAGAAGAUUGGAAAAGUUGGGAGGUGUUUGGAGAAGUGGGAAGACGUUGGGAGACUUUGGAAGAAAUGGGAAAAGUCUGAAAUUUUUUUAUAUAUAUAAAAAAUCCUGGCGGCCUGGCCGUUGGAAAAUACUUAAGUUUCGUUUGACUAUGUUUGACUGUACGGGGGACCACGGUGGCGCAAGUGAUAAAAAUUAGGGUUUCCCAAAAAUCCUGGCGGCUAGGCCGCCGGCUACUGAAAAAACAAGCGGGAGAAAGUAUCCAGCGGCCAAGCCGCCAGCAAUUUUUCUCCCGACCGUUGAGGGUUUUAGUAUGCCGGCGGCCUCGGAUCACUUCUUCCCGACAGUUGGGGAAAUUGGAGCUGGCAUUUUUUACAAAAAAAUAUACCGUCUGCCAGGCCGCUAGCUCAUUUCUCUCAUUUGCGAGGGAAAAUUAUGCCAGCGGACAAGUGUAACAUUUCGUCGGCCUGGCCGCUGGUCGUAUCUACCCUCGGCCAGGCUGCCGGGAGAUGGGCGCCAGAAUUGCGUUGAUUUGUUGUAGUGAGUUAAUCAACCUCUCUUGUAGCACAGGAGUUAGGUUCAUUCCCCCAUUUGGUGGGAGUAAUGCGGCACCUCAUGUGCGGAUAGUGAUGCAUUAGAGGUUGGUACAGUACGGGAACCAAUCCUCCUACCAGAAGCUCCUACUUCAGUAGUUGUAGCGGGAGCUUUCUUUUUAUGAUCCUUAGUAAAAGAAGCCAUAAAUGGGAUGGUUGCUUCUAUUAGGUCGAAGCAACAGACUACGAGUGAAAGUACUUCCGAAGUGUCGGAAGCUAUGGGUAGGUACACAUAGCUUCCGGCCGACUUCCUCCUGAGAUGUGACGACUUCUGGCCGAAGCGACAGAAGUGUCAGAAGAGCUUGCGACACUCCCCCCUUGAAUUUUGAUGACUUCUGGCCAAAGAGACAGAAGUGUCUGUAAAGUUUAUGGUGCUCCCCUUCGAAAACAUGCACUUGGGGCAGUUUUGCUGUAUUUUACCCGAAGUCGGCGAUUGGAGGCCACCAAUCGGCGAUACCUAUGGUCUGGGUAACUGCAGGGGGCAUUUUGUUUAUUACCCCUGUGAAUCGGCGACUCCCUCUAUGGAUCGGCGACUCCUAGCGUAACCGUCGGAUCUUUUUGGGAGAUCCUUGGGAUAUUUGGACAAUAUAUGGGGAAUAUAUGCAAAAUCUCCAAAUAAGGAAAUGAAUCUCACAGUUCUGCGAGAUUGUGUUCGGAGUCGGCGACUCCCUUGUGGAGUUGGCGACAAUGGUGUGAUAUCGGGGAUAUGGAGAUCAACUUUCGAUCUCUAUUUUUGUAAUUUUCGGAUUUUCUAGGGGUUUUUUGCAAUUUUCCCAGGGGCUAUAAAUAGUGGAGAGUUCUCCCCAAAAUCUCACAACACUUCUUCUCAAUCGCCUAAAACCCUAGAUUUUUUAGUCGUCGAUUCCCAAGUAGUAUUUCUUUGAAUCGACAAUUCCCGAAUCAUGUCUGCCCCCGAUUCCAACUUCUCACCCUUGAAUGAAGCUGAAAAGUCAGCUUUCAUUGCGGAGAUGGCCACUGAGGGUCUCGACGAGUUGUUGAACACCGUCGAGUCGCCGAUUCCCUCUCCUGACAGAGGGGUUGAGUCGGCGCCUCCGGUCGUUUCACCUCUUGGUAUGGAUCUGAGUGCCUCUGUGCACGAGCUUAUUAGCGCCACGCCGGUGUCGGCAAUACCCCUUGAGGAGUCGGAGACACUGAGCAGGGCCCUUGUAGUCGUGCCUGAGGGGCCUCUUGAGCUGGGAGAGAUUCCCGGGACCUCUGUGUCGGCGAUUACCCCUAUGGAGUUGGCGACACAGACUGGGCCCGUAAAGGGAAAAUCUUUUAAGCGAAGAGGUCAUGGCUCGGGUGCCAUUGGGUCGGCGACUGCUGGCCGUGACUCGACGAUCCUUCUUACUGGAUCGGCGAUUCAAGGGUCUAAGUCGCCGACUCCUAUGCAGAUUGAUGACUCUUCUGCGCACCAAACCGCUCCGUUGGUUGUGAGUGCCGAAGGUCUUAUUGUGUCGGAACUGAACCCGAACCAGGGGCCAUCUGUGGGCGAUGGCUCUAAGAAACGUAAACGACGAUGUGUCCACGGCAAGGGCAAAGUCUUCGUGCCUGAACAGGAUGAGGGGGUCCCCCUGCCUCUUGACGUAAAUUUUGAAGAGACUUUGCGCGUUGACCGUGGUGUUCCCAACACUACAAGAAAUAAGACCUUGUAUGGCGGUCUUUAGAUGGCGGAUUUCCGCCAUCUAAAGUGAUCCUCGGCGGAAAUCUGCCAUCAAAAGACCGCCAUCUUGGACACCGCCAUUAAAACCCCUAAACCGCCAUCUAAAGACCGCCAUCUAUUAUUCGUCCCCAUUUCCCACCAAAAAUCGUAUAGAUGGCGGAAAUCCGCCAUCUAAUCUGAAAUUUUUCGUGCGAACUGAAAAGUUUUAGAUGGCGGAAAUCCGCCAUCUAAAAUAUGGCGCGGGAAUAGUUUGGCGCCAAUUCAUUGAUGGCGGUUAAUUUCAUUGAUGGCGGAUGUCCGCCGACUAUCCUUGGAACAUUAGAUGGCGGAAAUCCGCCAUCUAAAGUUACGCAGGCGGUUCCCUUAGUUUAUAGAUGGCGGAUAUCCGCCAUCUAUUCGUGGGAGAGGGCGAUUGUGCCCAUAUUUCCGCCAUCUAAAACUUAGUAGAAGAGUAUAGAUGGCGGAAAUCCGUCAUACAAUGUUUGUUACAUUUUUUUUUAGAACAGGAUUCUAUAUUUUGCGUUCGAAUCGUUGUUUUUUGAAAUAGAAAUCGAUAUUUGAGAAAACGAUUUUGAAAUAGAAAUUGAAAUCGAUGUUUUUUAUUAAAAAGAAAAUAAAUUACAGAAUCGUUAAACAUUCGAAGUUUGAAUAAGAAAAAAAAAAUUGUUUAAUCAACACUCGUCUGAAAGCGAGUCUUCUGAAUCAGAAUCAGAAAUAUCUGAUCCGAAUGCAGACGGUAUUGUGGACUUUGAAGUAGAAGCCAUCUUCGUCAUGUCGAGUCCAGAAGUCUUCAAAGUCUUAUUCAGUUUCUUCAUAUAUGAUUUCAUAGCAUUGAACUUCUUCUUGUAUUUGGAGACGUCUUUUUGACUCUCGUUACACUUGUUCUGAAAAUGAAUACAAAAAUGAGUUCGAUAAUCAACAAAAUUAUUGAAAUAUAUUGUAAAUACCUCCAAUGCUUUGAAUUUUUCCGACCAAACUGCAUCUGGUGUUGCAUCAGCAGUCGUGCUUUCUGAGAUCGGCUCUUUUCCUUUCCAAUUUGUAGAAGCCCAUCUUUCGUUUGUUGUGCUCAACAUACUGGCAGCUUCUCCGAUUCCUAUUAUUCGAUUCUUCUUAUUUUUGCCGAAAGUCUUGUUGACCGUCGUUUCGAUAAAUUGCUGCAUUAUAAAAAAAAAAUUAAGAAAUACAAAAUAUAUUUAAAAUAAUCAAUGGAACUUACAAAUGGAGUCAUUGAUUCAGAUUCAGAUUCAGCCCACGAUUUUGCCUCUGGACUUUUGAUAAAUUCCAUGGCUUCAAUCUGAAAGAAUAACAAAAUCAAACCAUGAUAAUAGAAAUUAUAAAAUAUAAAUAAUUUUAAAAAAAUACUUACAACUUUAUCGCUUCCCUUAUAUGUCAUUUGUAAAGUCUCUGACCAAGCUUCGACUUCACUCCUUCCUUGUUGCAUCUAUAUUCACAUAAAUCAUUAAUAUAUAAAAAAAUAGAUAUAAAUUAUAAAAAAAAUUACCAAUUCAUGACGUCUUUGCGCUAAUCCUUUUGAAUCAGCGUGAUGUGUCAUUUGAUUCGCUCGGUUCGCGGUAUUUAUCUCGGAAAUUUGCUGAAAUUAUAGAAAAUAAUAAGUUUCAAAAUUUAUUAAUAUAAUAAAUAUAUAUAUAUACAUAUACGUACCUUUUCUUUUUCCGAACGAUGUUGUCUCAAUUUAUUCAGAAAUUGUGGUUUGCUGACAUACGGUGGAAGAGUCGCUAAAAUGUCUUCUUCUCUCAUAUCAGGAUCAGAGCCAUAAGUUUUAACCAAAGAAUUAUGGUUGCUCCUCCAGAGUUUGUUCAGCCUACCAUUGAUAUAAGUUUGUGCAGCUUUGCUUCCACUUAAAUCAUAUUCAGUCUACAUAUUCAAAACUUAUAAGUUUUGGAAAAUUAAUAAAUUAUAUUAAAAAAAAAUAUACUUACAGUUAAUAUUUUUAACGCGUCUUGAAAAUUCUGUUGUGGUUGAUGACGCCACUCAAUGUCGUACGGGAAGAGAGUAUGGUCUUUUGCUAAAAGAGUCAUUCUUGUCGUUAAUUUCUUCGCCAUUUCAUCCGUCGCUUGGUUUGUGUUGUCAAACAUAACCUUCCACUUCGUACCUUUUUCUGGAUGGUUAUGGGGGUGGUCUUUUGUGCGACUACGACCCUUCUUCUGUGGAGGCACAUUCGAUGUGGAUGGCCUCGCAUCUAAUUAAUUUACAUAUUUAAGAAUUAAUUUUUUAUAGAAACAAUGAUAAUAUUUAAAAUAUAAAUAAUAAACUGACCACUUGAACUGGACUCUUCAAAAGAGCGAACGGAUGUAACCAUCGCCAGUGCCAUGAAUGGUGUGAUAACACCGAGCAAAACGAAAAAAGUAAACAUAAUCUGAAAUAUUUAAAUUUGAAAAUAAAAUUAGUUAUUUUAAAUACAUAGCCAGACACCCGUAUAUGGGGUCUUGGUCUGACACAACAACCAAACAUUUUUCCUAUUGUAAUUUACAUUCUUUAUUAUUAGACACAAUAAAUCUUCGAAGUCGUCGUGAGAACGUUGUAUUCGAUUUUGAAUGAAUGUGAGCCACCACAAUCAUUCAACACUCUAGCCUCGUAUCCUAACACUAAAAUCUGACCGGUUUCCAUUGUUUGAGGAUUUGUCGACCAUAUUUUUGGACAGUUCUGAAAAUGAUGACCGUUGACUCCGCAACGGAAACAAGCAAAAACACGACAAUAAUAAUCUAUGUUUUUGUAAAAACUACGUUGAAUCUGAUUAAGUCGCUCUAGUCGUUCAUAUCGUUCGAUGAUUGCAAGUAGUUGACUCAUUUUUUGUACUGAAAAAAAAAAGAAAUAUUUAUAAUCAAUACAUAUAUAAACCCCCAAAUAAUAAAUACAUAAACCCUCAAUGUCAUAAACUCACAAAUACAUGAACCCCAAUGUCAUACAACCAUAACCCCCUAAUUUAAUCAAAUAACAUACAUCGAAUGAAGAACAAAAUAGAAAAUGUAGAAGAAUAGGAAAAGAUGAUAUAAAUUAUAACAUGGAGAAGAUGGAGAAGAAGAGGAAGUUGAAGAAGAAGGGGAGAAAAUAACCUUGGUGAGGAAUGGCCGGAUAUUCUCGAUCAAAUCGGCCGGAGAUGCUAUAAACGCCCUUGGGGAGGAAUGGGGAGAAGUUUGGAGAAGAUUGGAAAAGUUGGGAGGUGUUUGGAGAAGUGGGAAGACGUUGGGAGACUUUGGAAGAAAUGGGAAAAGUCUGAAAAUUUUUUUAUAUAUAUAAAAAAUCCUGGCGGCCUGGCCGCUGGGAAAUACUUAAGUUUCGUUUGACUAUGUUUGACUGUACGGGGGACCACGGCGGCGCAAGUGAUAAAAAUUAGGGUUUCCCAAAAAUCCUGGUGGCUAGGCCGCCGGCUACUGAAAAAAACAAGCGGAAAAAAGUAUCCAGCGGCCAAGCCGCCAGCAAUUUUUCUCCCGACCGUUGAGGGUUUUAGUAUGCCGGCGGCCAGGCCGCCGGAUCACUUCUUCCCGACCGUUGGGGAAAUUGGAGCUGGCAUUUUUUACAAAAAAAUAUACCGUCUGCCUGGCCGCUAGCUCAUUUCUCUCAUUUGCGAGGGAAAAUUAUGCCGGCGGACAAGUGUAACAUUUUGUCGGCCUGGCCGCUGGUCGUAUCUACCCUCGGCCAGGCUGCCGGGAGAUGGGUGCCAGAACUGCGUUGAUUUGUUGUAGUGAGUUAAUCAACCUCUCUUGUAGCACAGGAGUUAGGUUCAUUCCCCCAUUUGGUGGGAGUAAUGCGGCACCUCAUGUGCGGAUAGUGAUGCAUUAGAGGUUGGUACAGUACGGGAACCAAUCCUCCUACCAGAAGCUCCUACUUCAGUAGUUGUAGCGGAAGCUUUCUUUUUAUGAUCCUUAGUAAAAGAAGCCAUAAAUGGGAUGGUUGCUUCUAUUAGGUCGAAGCAACAGACUACGAGUGAAAGUACUUCCGAAGUGUCGGAAGCUAUGGGUAGGUACACAUAGCUUCCGGCCGACUUCCUCCUGAGAUGUGACGACUUCUGGCCGAAGCGACAGAAGUGUCAGAAGAGCUUGCGACACUCCCCCCUUGAAUUUUGACGACUUUUGGCCAAAGCGACAGAAGUGUCGGUAAAGCUUAUGGUGCUCCCCUUCGAAAACAUGCACUUGGGGCAGUUUUGCUCUUAUAUUACCCGAAGUCGGCGAUUGGAGGCCACCAAUCGGCGAUACCUAUGGUCUGGGUAACUGCAGGGGGCAUUUUGUUUAUUACCCCUGUGAAUCGGCGACUCCCUCUAUGGAUCGGCGACUCCUAGCGUAACCGUCGGAUCUUUUUGGGAGAUCCUUGGGAUAUUUGGACAAUAUAUGGGGAAUAUAUGCAAAAUCUCCAAAUAAGGAAAUGAAUCUCACAGUUCUGCGAGAUUGUGUUCGGAGUCGUCGACUCCUUGUGGAGUUGGCGACAAUGGCGUGAUAUCGGGGAUAUGGAGAUCAACUUUCGAUCUCUAUUUUUGUAAUUUUCGGAUUUUCUAGGGGUUUUUUGCAAUUUUCCCAGGGGCUAUAAAUAGUGGAGAGUUCUCCCCAAAAUCUCACAACACUUCUUCUCAAUCGCCUAAAACCCUAGAUUUUUUAGUCGUCGAUUCCCAAGUAGUAUUUCUUUGAAUCGACGAUUCCCGAAUCAUGUCUGCCCCCGAUUCCAACUUCUCACCCUUGAAUGAAGCUGAAACGUCAGCUUUCAUUGCGGAGAUGGCCAUUGAGGGUCUCGACGAGUUGUUGAACACCGUCGAGUCGCCGAUUCCCUCUCCUGACAGAGGGGUUGAGUCAGCGCCUCCGGUCGUUUCACCUCUUGGUAUGGAUCUGAGUGCCUCUGUGCACGAGCUUAUUAGCGCCACGCCGGUGUCGGCAAUUCCCCUUGAGGAGUCGGAGACACUGAGCAGGGCCCUUGUAGUCGUGCCUGAGGGGCCUCUUGAGCUGGGAGAGAUUCCCGGGACCUCUGUGUCGGCGAUUACCCCUAUGGAGUCGGCGACACAGACUGGGCCCGUAAAGGGAAACUCUUUUAAGCGAAGAAGUCAUGGCUCGGGUGCCAUUGGGUCGGCGACUGCUGGCCGUGACUCGACGAUCCUUCUUACUGGAUCGGCGAUUCAAGGGUCUAAGUCGCCGACUCCUAUGCAGAUUGAUGACUCUUCUGCGCACCAAACCGCUCCGUUGGUUGUGAGUGCCGAAGGUCUUAUUGUGUCGGGACUGAACCCGAACCAGGAGCCAUCUGUGGGCGAUGGCUCUAAGAAACGUAAACGACGAUGUGGCUACGGCAAGGGCAAAGUCUUCGUGCCUGAACAGGAUGAGGGGGUCCCCCUGCCUCUUGACGUAAAUUUUGAAGAGACUUUGCGCGUUGACCGUGGUGCUCCCAACACUACAAGAAAUAAGACCUUGUAUGGCGGUCUUUAGAUGGCGGAUUUCCGCCAUCUAAAGUGAUCCUCGGCGGAAAUCCGCCAUCUAAAGACCGCCAUCUUGGACACCGCCAUUAAAACCCCUAAACCGCCAUCUAAAGACCGCCAUCUAUUAUUCGUCCCCAUUUCCCACCAAAAAUCGUAUAGAUGGCGGAAAUCCGCCAUCUAAUCUGAAAAUUUUCGCGCGAACUGAAAAGUUUUAGAUGGCGGAAAUCCGCCAUCUAAAAUAUGGCGCGGGAAUAGUUUGGCGCCAAUUCAUUGAUGGCGGUUAAUUUCAUUGAUGGCGGAUGUCCGCCGACUAUCNNNNNNNNNNNNNNNNNNNNNNNNNNNNNNNNNNNNNNNNNNNNNNNNNNNNNNNNNNNNNNNNNNNNNNNNNNNNNNNNNNNNNNNNNNNNNNNNNNNNCGCCAUCUAAAACUUAGUAGAAGAGUAUAGAUGGCGGAAAUCCGUCAUACAAUGUUUGUUACAUUUUUUUUUAGAACAGGAUUCUAUAUUUUGCGUUCGAAUCGUUGUUUUUUGAAAUAGAAAUCGAUAUUUGAGAAAACGAUUUUGAAAUAGAAAUUGAAAUCGAUGUUUUUUAUUAAAAAGAAAAUAAAUUACAGAAUCGUUAAACAUUCGAAGUUUGAAUAAGAAAAAAAAAAUUGUUUAAUCAACACUCGUCUGAAAGCGAGUCUUCUGAAUCAGAAUCAGAAAUAUCUGAUCCGAAUGCAGACGGUAUUGUGGACUUUGAAGUAGAAGCCAUCUGCGUCAUGUCGAGUCCAGAAGUCUUCAAAGUCUUAUUCAGUUUCUUCAUAUAUGAUUUCAUAGCAUUGAACUUCUUCUUUUAUUUGGAGACGUCUUUUUGACUCUCGUUACACUUGUUCUGAAAAUGAAAACAAAAAUGAGUUCGAUAAUCANNNNNNNNNNNNNNNNNNNNNNNNNNNNNNNNNNNNNNNNNNNNNNNNNNNNNNNNNNNNNNNNNNNNNNNNNNNNNNNNNNNNNNNNNNNNNNNNNNNNUAAAUACCUCCAAUGCUUUGAAUUUUUCCGACCAAACUGCAUCUGGUGUUGCAUCAGCAGUCGUGCUUUCUGAGAUCGGCUCUUUUCCUUUCCAAUUUGAAGAAGCCCAUCUUUCGUUUGUUGUGCUCAACAUACUGGCAGCUUCUCCAAUUCCUAUUAUUCGAUUCUUCUUAUUUUUGCCGAAAGUCUUGUUGACCGUCGUUUCGAUAAAUUGCUGCAUUAUAAAAAAAAAAUUAAGAAAUACAAAAUAUAUUUAAAAUAAUCAAUGGAACUUACAAAUGGAGUCAUUGAUUCAGAUUCAGCCCACGAUUUUGCCUCUGGACUUUUGAUAAAUUCCGUGGCUUCAAGCUGAAAGAAUAACAAAAUCAAACAAUGAUAAUAGAAAUUAUAAAAUAUAAAUAAUUUUAAAAAAAUACUUACAACUUUAUCGCUUCCCUUAUAUGUCAUUUGUAAAGUCUCUGACCAAGCUUCGACUUCACUCCUUCCUUGUUGCAUCUAUAUUCACAUAAUUCAUUAAUAUAUAAAAAAAUUAUAAAAAAAUUACCAAUUCAUGACGUCUUUGCGCUAAUCCUUUUGAACCAGCGUGAUGUGUCAUUUGAUUCGCUCGGUUCGCGGUAUUUAUCUCGGAAAUUUGCUGAAAUUAUAAAAAAUAAUAAGUUUCAAAAUUUAUUAAUAUAAUAAAUAUAUAUAUAUACAUAUACGUACCUUUCCUUUUUCCGAACGAUGUUGUCUCAAUUUAUUCAGAAAUUGUGGUUUGCUAACAUAUGGUGGAAGAGUCGCUAAAAUGUCUUCUUCUCUCAUAUCAGGAUCAGAGCCAUAAGUUUUAACCAAAGAAUUAUGGUUGCUCCUCCAGAGUUUGUUCAGCCUACCAUUGAUAUAAGUUUGUGCAGCUUUGCUUCCACUUAAAUCAUAUUCAGCAUACAUAUUCAAAACUUAUAAGUUUUGGAAAAUUAAUAAAUUACAGUUUUGGAAAAUUAAAAAAAUAUAUACUUACAGUUAAUAUUUUUAACGCGUCCUGAAAAUUCUGUUGUGGUUGAUGACGCCACUCAAUGUCGUACGGGAAGAGAGUAUGGUCCUUUGCUAAAAGAGUCAUUCUUGUCGUUAAUUUCUUCGUCAUUUCAUCCGUCGCUUGGUUUGUGUUGUCAAACAUAACCUUCGACUUCGUACCUUUUUUCUGGAUGGUUAUGGGGGUGGUCUUUUGUGCGACCACGACCCUUCUUCUGUGGAGGCACAUUCGAUGUGGACGGCCUCGCAUCUAAUUAAUUUACAUAUUUAAACAUUAAUUUUUUAUAGAAACAAUGAUAAUAUUUAAAAUAUAAAUAAUAAACUGACCACUUGAAUUGGACUCUUCAAAAGAGCGACGGGAUGUAACCAUCGCCAGUGCUAUGAAUGGUGUGAUAACACCGAGCAGAACGAAAAAAGUAAACAUAAUCUGAAAUAUUUAAAUUUGAAAAUAAAAUUAGUUAUUUUAAAUACAUAGCCAGACACCCGUAUAUGGGGUCUUGGUCUGACACAACAACCAAACAUUUUUCCUUUUGUAAUUUACAUUCUUUAUUAUUAGACACAACAAAUCUUCGAAGUCGUCGUGAGAAGAGUUGUAUUCGAUUUUGAAUGUAUGUGUGCCACCACAAUCAUUCAAUAUUCAAAAUAAAUAAAUUAAAUAAAAUUAUAUAAUUUUUACCGCAAAUUAGAUUUUCUUCAAUCCAAAACUUACUUCAAUCUUGAUUUUAAAAAACCUAUAACAAAUCAAAAACACAUUAAAUAUUUUAUAUAAAAUUUAAAUUAUUUAAAAACAUAAAAUAAUUACAACAUAUUUAUUUCAUGCAAAUAAUUAAUUAAGAUAUAGAUUCAUGUAAAUUUUAAUUAAAUUGAUAUUUAAUUACAAUUAUUUAUAUAAUUUAAAAAUAAGUUGAUUAAAUAAAAAUUUUAAUUAUUUUCUGUUUGAAAAUAAAUACGAUAACUAAUUAUUUCAAAACAUUAUAUUAAUUAAUUAACUAUUACAAAAUUAAGUUAUAAACAGUAAUUAAAAAAUUUUAUUAAUUAUUUAUAAACAGUAAAUAAAAUAAUUAUAUAAUUAAUUAUUUUAAACAAUAUGUUAAUUAAUCAAUUAAAACUUCUUUUAAAUUAUUUUAAAAUAGUAAAUAAAAUAAUUUUUUAAUAAUUUAUUCAUUAUUUUAAAAUCAGUAUAUUCAAUGAAAAAUAUAAAAUUAUUUAAAGUAUUGAUAAUUACAAAAUUAUUUAUAUUAUUAAUCAAAUAAUAUUUAAAUUAUGUACAAACAGUAAUUAUUUAUUUAAAUUAAUCAAUAAUUAUCUAAUUUAAUUUAAUUCUAUAUUUAAAUAAUUAUUUAUUUCUAUUAUUUAUUUCUAUUAUUUAUAAACUUUAAAUUAAAUAUAAAACAGUAAAAUUAAUAAAAAAUACCAACAAAAAAUUAUAAUUCAUAAAAAAACGAUUUCUAAAAUAUUACCCUAACCCUAAAUCGAACCCAAACCCCAUUCUAAAAUAUAACCAUUUUCAAAUAAAACAAAGUGAAAUAAAACCCUUCUCACCAAGAACGGCGACGGGAUCAAAUCAGGACGGAGGUGGUGGCUAGCGGAGACGACCUUCGAAGCGGAGUCGGCUACCGGAUAAUCAAAUAAGUACAUUUCAUUAUGAUAAUCAAAUAACAUAUCGCAAAAUUAAACCGUAUAAAUAAAAUUAUACCCAAACAACACAUACAAAGUACCAUCACGAUCAACAUCAACAAAGUUAAUAACAAACAUCAACAAAGUUUCCAUUAUUUAAUCUACAACAUAAAAUUUUAUCUUAAUAAACAAACCAUCAACAAACAAUUCCAAUGUCUAAAUCAUUGAAAUUAAAACAAUAUGAAAUUCUUAACAUAUCAUUCAAAUUCUUAUAAAAUCAUUGAAAUUCUUAACAUAUAAAAAACCAAACAUGAAAAAUUCUUAUUCAUACAUCAAAAACCCAACAAACAAUAACUUACUAUAAAAACAUCAAACUAACAAUCAACACAAUAACUAAAAAAACGUAAAUCAAACCCAUAAAUCAACAACACGAUAACUAAACACUUAUCAAAAACACGAUAACUAAACACUUAUUCAAAAACCCAACACUUAUCAAAAACAAUCAACACGAUAACUAAACAAAUUUCUUUCCUAAAUGAAUACUAUUUCAAACAAUAUUAUUUCAGAUACUAAAUCAACAGCAAACAAUACUAUUUCAUUCAUACAUACAUUCAAACAAUACUAAAUCAACAGAUACAUACAUUCAUUCAAACAUCUAAACAGAAAAUACUUCAACUUAAGCCUAAAUAGUAGAUAGAUAAAUAUUGAAUCUAAACAAUAUGGAUAAACAUAAACAUAAAAAAAAUAGAUAAAGAUAGAUAGAUAUAUAGAAUAACAUUAAACAAACAAUGAAGAGAUGACAAAUUAAGGAUGAAAAAAUUAGGAAAAACAAAAAACGUUAAAAAAUUAGAAACUACCUUCAAAGUUGAGGAAUCGGAAUGGAGAUCGGCUACCAGCGAAGACACGGAGACUGACAGUGAAGACCGGCGAGGACACGGCGGCGUGGCCGGCGAACGCUGACGGCGACGACGAGCGGCGGGGAGACAGGCGGGGACGAGCGGCGGGGAGGGAUUUCCAAAAGAACAGACAACGCGUCUGUUCUGAUUUGGGGUUUUUAAUAAACCCCAAAACUUUCAUGACGGAUUUCCGCCAUGUAAGUACACUUAAGUGCCGCCAGCACUAAAGUGAAAGUCCGCCCAAUCGAAAUUUGGGCGGGCUUUUUCCGCCCGAUUCCCCGAAAACAUAACAUGGCGGACAUCCGCCAUGUUAAGUCAAUUUAAUUGGGUAAUCGGGCUGAAAAUUGGGGGCCAUUCGAAAUUUUGGGCGGGAUAGUUUAGAUGGCGAAUUUCCGCCAUCUAAACACCGCCAUCGAAAGUAAUUUCGAACCGCCGUCGAUCCAAAACUUUUCCUCGGCGGAUUCAAUGAAUAGAUGGCGGACAUCAGCCAUCUAAACAACUGAAGUAUUGAUGGCGGAAAUCCGCCAUCUAAAGGCCGCCAUACAAGGUCCUUUUUUUUGUAGUGAUCAAACCCUAAGAUUCCAAAUAUUUACGAAUCUAAGUUCUUUUUCAAAAUAUAAUUUACGACGUACAAGUCUAAAUUACGAUGAAAAGUAAAUACACCUAUGAUUUUUUGCAAUUCUGAGUCGGUUUGGGAAUAUUCUGCGAAUCUGACUGACGGCUGAAUUACGACUCUUAAUUACAACCAAGUUUACGGUCAGAGUGCCUAAGUGGGGGUUACAAAACCAAACUUACGUCCAGAGUGGCUAAGUGAGGGUUACUGAUGAAGCAUUGAAUCUGCUACCAGGGCUCGCGGUGGUGCGAGGUUGAUGCCGGAGGCUUUGGAGUCCACGAUGCACGCUCUACGUCAAAUACCUGCAAGUGGAAACUAGGCGAUUCUAGUGAGAAUCGGCGAGUUUCGUAGUGAUGCUCUGAUGUGAGAGAGGAACUUGAAUCGUGCCUUUGAGUGUCCCCUUGAGACCCCUUUUAUAGGAUCUCGGAGGGCGCAAUCAAAGACGGACAUCGCGCCUAUGGUCAUAUAUGGUAAUGGUGAUACAGUAUCCCGAACACGGUCACAACCUACCAACAACUAGAAGUCCGGAUAGCCUAAGAUGAGUUAAGGUAUCUAUUCUAGGGUUGGGGAGGUCCCAGGUCGAAUCCUAGGAAGAUCGACUUUCCUGGGGAUCGACUUCUGAAUAAAGUCGAUCACCAGGAAAGUCGACCCCCAGAAAGUCGAUCUCUGGAAGUCGAUCCUGGGACCCAAUCUGAUCAGUUUGGCAGUUAGGCGGUUACUGCCCAAAUGACCAUAUUGCCCCAUAAGAACCCCUAUAAAUAGAGGGCACCACCCACUCAUUAAGGGCAAGUCAUUUGGAGAAGAAGGAUUCCUAGCGAAGCAGAGCUCUGCACACUUGAGUUCCGGUCCGGUUUCCCGCGGAGUUCCCCGCUUGGCGCUUGCUUGCGCGUCUUNNNNNNNNNNNNNNNNNNNNNNNNNNNNNNNNNNNNNNNNNNNNNNNNNNNNNNNNNNNNNNNNNNNNNNNNNNNNNNNNNNNNNNNNNNNNNNNNNNNNNNNNNNNNNNNNNNNNNNNNNNNNNNNNNNNNNNNNNNNNNNNNNNNNNNNNNNNNNNNNNNNNNNNNNNNNNNNNNNNNNNNNNNNNNNNNNNNNNNNNNNNNNNNNNNNNNNNNNNNNNNNNNNNNNNNNNNNNNNNNNNNNNNNNNNNNNNNNNNNNNNNNNNNNNNNNNNNNNNNNNNNNNNNNNNNNNNNNNNNNNNNNNNNNNNNNNNNNNNNNNNNNNNNNNNNNNNNNNNNNNNNNNNNNNNNNNNNNNNNNNNNNNNNNNNNNNNNNNNNNNNNNNNNNNNNNNNNNNNNNNNNNNNNNNNNNNNNNNNNNNNNNNNNNNNNNNNNNNNNNNNNNNNNNNNNNNNNNNNNNNNNNNNNNNNNNNNNNNNNNNNNNNNNNNNNNNNNNNNNNNNNNNNNNNNNNNNNNNNNNNNNNNNNNNNNNNNNNNNNNNNNNNNNNNNNNNNNNNNNNNNNNNNNNNNNNNNNNNNNNNNNNNNNNNNNNNNNNNNNNNNNNNNNNNNNNNNNNNNNNNNNNNNNNNNNNNNNNNNNNNNNNNNNNNNNNNNNNNNNNNNNNNNNNNNNNNNNNNNNNNNNNNNNNNNNNNNNNNNNNNNNNNNNNNNNNNNNNNNNNNNNNNNNNNNNNNNNNNNNNNNNNNNNNNNNNNNNNNNNNNNNNNNNNNNNNNNNNNNNNNNNNNNNNNNNNNNNNNNNNNNNNNNNNNNNNNNNNNNNNNNNNNNNNNNNNNNNNNNNNNNNNNNNNNNNNNNNNNNNNNNNNNNNNNNNNNNNNNNNNNNNNNNNNNNNNNNNNNNNNNNNNNNNNNNNNNNNNNNNNNNNNNNNNNNNNNNNNNNNNNNNNNNNNNNNNNNNNNNNNNNNNNNNNNNNNNNNNNNNNNNNNNNNNNNNNNNNNNNNNNNNNNNNNNNNNNNNNNNNNNNNNNNNNNNNNNNNNNNNNNNNNNNNNNNNNNNNNNNNNNNNNNNNNNNNNNNNNNNNNNNNNNNNNNNNNNNNNNNNNNNNNNNNNNNNNNNNNNNNNNNNNNNNNNNNNNNNNNNNNNNNNNNNNNNNNNNNNNNNNNNNNNNNNNNNNNNNNNNNNNNNNNNNNNNNNNNNNNNNNNNNNNNNNNNNNNNNNNNNNNNNNNNNNNNNNNNNNNNNNNNNNNNNNNNNNNNNNNNNNNNNNNNNNNNNNNNNNNNNNNNNNNNNNNNNNNNNNNNNNNNNNNNNNNNNNNNNNNNNNNNNNNNNNNNNNNNNNNNNNNNNNNNNNNNNNNNNNNNNNNNNNNNNNNNNNNNNNNNNNNNNNNNNNNNNNNNNNNNNNNNNNNNNNNNNNNNNNNNNNNNNNNNNNNNNNNNNNNNNNNNNNNNNNNNNNNNNNNNNNNNNNNNNNNNNNNNNNNNNNNNNNNNNNNNNNNNNNNNNNNNNNNNNNNNNNNNNNNNNNNNNNNNNNNNNNNNNNNNNNNNNNNNNNNNNNNNNNNNNNNNNNNNNNNNNNNNNNNNNNNNNNNNNNNNNNNNNNNNNNNNNNNNNNNNNNNNNNNNNNNNNNNNNNNNNNNNNNNNNNNNNNNNNNNNNNNNNNNNNNNNNNNNNNNNNNNNNNNNNNNNNNNNNNNNNNNNNNNNNNNNNNNNNNNNNNNNNNNNNNNNNNNNNNNNNNNNNNNNNNNNNNNNNNNNNNNNNNNNNNNNNNNNNNNNNNNNNNNNNNNNNNNNNNNNNNNNNNNNNNNNNNNNNNNNNNNNNNNNNNNNNNNNNNNNNNNNNNNNNNNNNNNNNNNNNNNNNNNNNNNNNNNNNNNNNNNNNNNNNNNNNNNNNNNNNNNNNNNNNNNNNNNNNNNNNNNNNNNNNNNNNNNNNNNNNNNNNNNNNNNNNNNNNNNNNNNNNNNNNNNNNNNNNNNNNNNNNNNNNNNNNNNNNNNNNNNNNNNNNNNNNNNNNNNNNNNNNNNNNNNNNNNNNNNNNNNNNNNNNNNNNNNNNNNNNNNNNNNNNNNNNNNNNNNNNNNNNNNNNNNNNNNNNNNNNNNNNNNNNNNNNNNNNNNNNNNNNNNNNNNNNNNNNNNNNNNNNNNNNNNNNNNNNNNNNNNNNNNNNNNNNNNNNNNNNNNNNNNNNNNNNNNNNNNNNNNNNNNNNNNNNNNNNNNNNNNNNNNNNNNNNNNNNNNNNNNNNNNNNNNNNNNNNNNNNNNNNNNNNNNNNNNNNNNNNNNNNNNNNNNNNNNNNNNNNNNNNNNNNNNNNNNNNNNNNNNNNNNNNNNNNNNNNNNNNNNNNNNNNNNNNNNNNNNNNNNNNNNNNNNNNNNNNNNNNNNNNNNNNNNNNNNNNNNNNNNNNNNNNNNNNNNNNNNNNNNNNNNNNNNNNNNNNNNNNNNNNNNNNNNNNNNNNNNNNNNNNNNNNNNNNNNNNNNNNNNNNNNNNNNNNNNNNNNNNNNNNNNNNNNNNNNNNNNNNNNNNNNNNNNNNNNNNNNNNNNNNNNNNNNNNNNNNNNNNNNNNNNNNNNNNNNNNNNNNNNNNNNNNNNNNNNNNNNNNNNNNNNNNNNNNNNNNNNNNNNNNNNNNNNNNNNNNNNNNNNNNNNNNNNNNNNNNNNNNNNNNNNNNNNNNNNNNNNNNNNNNNNNNNNNNNNNNNNNNNNNNNNNNNNNNNNNNNNNNNNNNNNNNNNNNNNNNNNNNNNNNNNNNNNNNNNNNNNNNNNNNNNNNNNNNNNNNNNNNNNNNNNNNNNNNNNNNNNNNNNNNNNNNNNNNNNNNNNNNNNNNNNNNNNNNNNNNNNNNNNNNNNNNNNNNNNNNNNNNNNNNNNNNNNNNNNNNNNNNNNNNNNNNNNNNNNNNNNNNNNNNNNNNNNNNNNNNNNNNNNNNNNNNNNNNNNNNNNNNNNNNNNNNNNNNNNNNNNNNNNNNNNNNNNNNNNNNNNNNNNNNNNNNNNNNNNNNNNNNNNNNNNNNNNNNNNNNNNNNNNNNNNNNNNNNNNNNNNNNNNNNNNNNNNNNNNNNNNNNNNNNNNNNNNNNNNNNNNNNNNNNNNNNNNNNNNNNNNNNNNNNNNNNNNNNNNNNNNNNNNNNNNNNNNNNNNNNNNNNNNNNNNNNNNNNNNNNNNNNNNNNNNNNNNNNNNNNNNNNNNNNNNNNNNNNNNNNNNNNNNNNNNNNNNNNNNNNNNNNNNNNNNNNNNNNNNNNNNNNNNNNNNNNNNNNNNNNNNNNNNNNNNNNNNNNNNNNNNNNNNNNNNNNNNNNNNNNNNNNNNNNNNNNNNNNNNNNNNNNNNNNNNNNNAACAAUAAUCAAUCGGCCGGUGAAGAGCAGCCGGCGCGGAUGAACCCACUUUGUAGCCCAUUUUUUCGAACGCAGCUAGGUAUAAUAUAUCUACUGAGCUGCCGUUGUCCACCAUUACUUUGUUCAGACUUAAGUCAUCCCCUAUAUCCACUUGUAUCACUAGUGGAUCCUCAUGUGGGCUGACCACGUUGUCCAGAUCUUCCUCAGAGAAGCUUAUUUCCUCGCUUGGGUACGAUCUUUUCUUAGAUUUUGGUACCGUUGUAGUCUGCAUUACUUUGCGCGAGUAGCUUCUGCUUUCUCCUACUGAUCCUCCACCGAAGAUUAAAUUGAUUACCCUUCUUUUGUGGUCAGUGUCUGAAUCGGGACUCCUUGAGCGUUGGCGCUUACCCUUGUUUUUUGGGUCCAUGCAGCCUUGUCGCCCCCUUUCUAUUUUAUUGAUGUAUUGCUUCAGCUUCCCCUCCUUCACUUGCGUGUCUAGGAAGGUGCUCAGCUCCCUGCAGUUUUCUGUAUUGUGCCCGUAAUCCUUGUGGAACUUGCAAUACCUGUUCCUCCUUGUUCGAGCCUCUUUUGUUGCAGGGUUUAACUCUUCUGGUUGAGGAAACCUUAUUCUUCCCUUUUCUUUAUUGUAGAUUUCCUCUUUUGGAGUAGUGAAAACCGUAAAUCCUAAGUCUUUGUACUUUGGAUACCUUGAUUUUCCAAACUCCUCAGAUGUCUGGUAGACCUUUCCAUCGUGUUUUGGUCUCCAGGAUGAUUCUCCUUUUUCAAACUUCUGAAAUUUCUUCUUUGGUGCUUCAUAUGCUUUUCUAUUGCUUAUAGCACCUCUCUCUUUUUCUUUCUCAUACUCUUCAGAAUUUAUGUAUUUCUGGGCCUUUGUUAGCAGGUCCUCCAUGCAUUUUACAUUACUGACGUUUAGCUUUAUUGCCAAUGGCGUGUUCAUGUCUAGCCCUUUUGAGUAUGCGCAUAUUGCGAUUGUUGUGUUUAGAUCGGAGAUUUUCUGCAUGGCUUCCAUGAAUUUAGUUGUAUAAUUCCGAAGCGUAUUUCCAUUUUGUUUGAUUGCAAACAGUGAUUCUGUGCCUUUUCUUACUCUUGUGUUUCCACAGUGUUGGGCGACGAAUUUCUUUUUUAAAUCCUCGAAACUUGUUAUGCUCCCUGGCUGAAGUUCGACGAACCACCUAUAUGUAGGCCCUUUCAGUGUUCCUGGGAAUGCUCUACAGAGGAUGUCAUCCCUUGAUGUGGCCCACUGCAUUGCUCCUACAAACAUGUUUAUGUGGUCUGCUGGGUCCAUCUUCCCAUCAUAAAUCUGCAGCCUGGGUAGCCUGAAUUUCAGAGGUGCUGGUUUUAUCAUCAGCGAUUUGUGCAGGGCAUCCAUGCCUACCAGCCAAUUUGGAACCUCGCCUCCUCCUUCUGUGUCUCCCGUGCUUUCUUCCUGUACGGGUUUUCUGAAAAGAGGUUUGGGUUGCUCCUCUGGCUUUCGAGGUAGUGGUGCGCUGAAGUGAGCUGCUCUAUGACUUGACACCUCCUGCUGCACCUUGGCCUGCUUCGAGGUCUGAGCUUUUGAAUGGUAUAUUGAUGCUUUAGAUUUUUCAAUAUCCUUUAUUUUUUCGCUCAUUUUUGCUAUGGUUUCCUUCAUUUUUUCCAGCUCUUCUAUGGGCAUUUUUACGAACCCAUGAGUGGAUUCUGAUGCAGCAGCCCUUGGUUCCUUGCUGCUUGUGAGUCCCCCCUUUUGAGGUUGUUCUUCCGAAGGUUUCUCCUUUUCAGCAAGGAGUCGGAUGGCCUCUGCUAUCGCCUGAACUGUGAUGUUCAGAUUCUCCCCUCCUGCUGAAGCUUGGGGAGUUUGCCCGGGUUCACCUUCGGGUUCAGCCUCAGGUCCUGUGGGAGUCCUCUUGUUUUUAUUGGCCUUGGGUGGUCGACCCACUGGCCUUUUAGUUUUUGAGUUGCCAGGCUGUUGCUUUGGCGCCUCCUGAGAAUUUGCUCCUCUUCCUUGGGAAGUGCUUCGAGUUACCACCAUCCUUGAGUGUUCGACUUUUCUUGGAAGGAGUGUUCGACUUUUGCUUGGAGAGAAAAGUCGAUCUUCAAAAAGUAGAUCCCUAGUGCACUUGGAGGAUUCCUUGGAAGUCGAUGUCUGAAAGCCUAGCUCCUUGAGGGAUCGACUUUUUUUCCUUGGAAGAAAAAGUCGAUCUUCUGAAAAGUUGAUCCCUUGCUGGCUGAUUUCCUCGCAAGACUCCCUAGCUGGCGACUUGGAAAAAAGUCGAUCACUUUUUUCGAAAAAGUCGAGGAGCUUUUGUCGUGAGUAUCUUUGAGUCACAGACGGCGCCAACUGAUGGGGGUGAAACCCGACUAGUACUCCAAGACGCGCAAGCAAGCGCCAAGCGGGGAACUCCGCGGGAAACCGGACCGGAACUCAAGUGUGCAGAGCUCUGCUUCGCUAGGAAUCCUUCUUCUCCAAAUGACUUGCCUUUAAUGAGUGGGGGGUGCCCUCUAUUUAUAGGGGUUCUUAUGGGGGCAAUAUGGUCAUUUGGGCAGUAACCGCCUAACUGCCUANNNNNNNNNNNNNNNNNNNNNNNNNNNNNNNNNNNNNNNNNNNNNNNNNNNNNNNNNNNNNNNNNNNNNNNNNNNNNNNNNNNNNNNNNNNNNNNNNNNNUCUGGGGGUCGACUUUUCCUGGUGAUCGACUUUACUCAAAAGUCGAUCCCAGGGAAGUCGAUCCUCAGGAAAGUCGAUCUUCCUAGGAUUCGACCUGGGACCUCCCCAACCCUAGAAUAGAUACCUCAACUCAUCUUAGGCUAUCCGGACUUCUAGUUGCUGGUAGGUUGUGACCGUGUUCGGGAUACUGUAUCACCAGUACUCCCCCCUCCUCUGCGUAUUAGAUACUUUGGGAUACUUCUUUUAGUACUAUGGUCUGCGUGUCGGACCCUGUACUAUCAGUUCCCCCCUCUUUGCGUGCUGGGAUGUGGAUUUCUGGUGAUGUCCCUGGAUGUAAGAUCCUCUCUCACCAGGUACAUAUAUUGAAAAUCGAAUCUUGGUCCUCAAAUAUCUUAAUAAUGACUUUGACAAACUUAGCUAAUCAAGUUGUGUAUAUCGACCUCAAUCUAUUAGUGUCAAUGCUUAAGUGAUUGAAGAAAAUCUACCAUUUGUGGUGAUUUCUCUCUUCCUACAAAUGCAUAUGUUGAAUUUGAUGAAGAAAAGGAUUAGAUCAGAUCAUAUAUGUUCUUAUGUCGAUAUGCAUUGGCUAACCAUAAUUAUUAAAAUGGAUGAAAAUCUCAUGCAAAAGUUAGUGUGAUUUUGAUGGCUUGCAAAGAAACUGAAUCAAGAAAUGCAAGCAGAUAAUAAAAAGUUUGUUUUCAAUUCGCAAUAAUUGACAUCAAAUAUUUAUUUUCAUUUAGAUGAAGAUCCAUUAUUAACCGAAUCAACAUUGAAAAUCCAACAUUAAAUUAAAAUGAAAAUUACUAUUACUAUGUUUUUUAAUUAAAUAAAUGUUUAUUUAAUUAAUUAAAUAAUUUCUGUUUUUAUUUAAUUAAUUAAAUAAAUUACUGUUUUUAAUUAAAUAAAUAAUUAAUAAUGUUUUUAAAUAAAUAAAUAAUUUACUGUUUUUAAAUAAUUUUAAAAUUAAUGAAAUUCUAUAAUUUAUUUACUGUUUUUAAUUAAAUAAUUAAUAAUGUUUUUAAAUAAAUAAAUAAUUUACUGUUUUUAAAUAUUUUUAAAAUUAAUGAAAUUUUUUAUUUUAUUUACUGUUUUUAAUUAAAUAAUUAACAAUUUUUUUAAAUAAUUAAAUAAUUUAUUGUUUUUAAAUAAUUUAAAAAUUAAUUAUUUUGUUUUAUAUUUGUAUGUUGUAGGUUCUGAAUUCGGAUUUGGAAUUCGAAUUAAUUAUUAAUUAAACCGAUCUUUCGUAAAAUUCGGAUUUGGAAGCUAUAUUGCGGUAAAAAAUUAAAUUUAUUUAUUUAAUUAACUAAUUUUUAAAUUUAUAGUAAAAUGAAAUGAUUAAAUUAUCAAUAGAAAUAAUAAUUAGUAUAUUAUUAAUUGAUUAAAAUUUAUUAAAUAAUAAUAAUUAAUAACAAUUAGUAUAUUAUUAAAUUAUUAAAUAACAAUUAAAUUAACUAAUUAUUAAAUUGAAAUAAUAAUGAUUAAUUUGCAUGAAAAUAAUUUGUAAAUUAAUAAUGUAAAUUAAUUGCCAAUUGAAAGAUUUAAUUAAGAAUUUAAUUAAUUUGCAUGAAAUUAAAAAUUGACUUAUUAAAUUGAAUAUUAAUUAAUUAUUAAUUAAUUUACAAUUAUUAAAUAUUAAUUAAUUUCCAUGAAAUAAAAUAAUUUGUUAAUAAUGAAAUAUUGAAAUAUUGAAAAAUUUAAUUUUAAAAUUAUUUAAUUAAUCUUAAUACAAUUUAAUUAAUUUGCAUGAAAUUAAUUUGUAUAAAAUUUGAAAUUUGUUAAUUAUUAAUGAUUAAUUUGUAUGAAAUUAUAGAAAUCUUAAUUAAUAAUUAUUAAAUUGAAUGAUUUUAAAUUGAAAUAAUUAUCAUUAAUUUGCCAUGAAAUUAAAUUUGAUAAUUAAUGAAAUGAUUAUUUGUUUAAAAAUGAAUGAUUAUUUAAUUAUUUGUUUAAUAAUUAAUAAUUAUUUAUUUUUAUUUUUUUAGAUUUUAAAAAUGCCACGUAGAGUGAAGCAAUUACCUCGUAAGAGGACUUUACCACCCAAUCCCCAAGAUGCUUUCCGGUUUUAUCUCCCGGUUCAUCCUGCACCAGCACAUGUACGUCCAGCACCAGAACCUGUACGUCCAGCACCGGCACCUGUUCGUCCAGCAUCGGCCCCUCCAGUUCCGCAACCAGCAACUCCGAAAAAAGUCGUUUAUGAAACGGAUUCGGAAUAGUUCAAUAAUUAGCUAGAUUUUCCAAAAAAAAUUGAACUUAAUAUUAAUUGAACGAUAAUUAAUAUUGUAAUAGUCAAUUAAGUUUUAUCUAAUUAAUUAUAAUUCGAUAAAAAUCUAAUUUUUUAGGAUAAUGUCGAACCUCAUGAAAGUACCCGAUAAAGCUUGGAUGAGUUUAGAUUGGUUUUCGAAAGAAUACGGUAAAGGGUUAACAGCUUUCACUAAUUUCGCCAUUUCGAAUUAGACUCACCUAGAAGGUUAUUUACCUUGUCCAUGCUCGUCCUGCAUGAAUAGUGAAGUGAUUCUUAUAAAGGAGAUGAAAAAGCAUGUUUUCAUAAAUGGUUGGUUGAAACAUUACGACGUUUGGACACAUCACGGAGAGUUACCGAGUAGAUAUGCUGAGAAAAAAGUGAAACGAAAAGAGACAGUGCCGGAAACUGGUAAUGAUAUGAUUGGAUUGGUUCAUGCGGUUUACGGAGAACAUGUAGUUGAGAAUACAGUCGACGAAGAAUUUCUCGAAUACGAGCCUGUCCAUGAAGAUUCAAUCGAUGUAGAUCCAGUCGACGAAGAUCAAGUCGACGAAGAUCCAGAGCACAGAUAUGACGAUUCGUUCUUACGCCGUCUAAAAGAAGGUGAAAAACAGUUAUAUCCAGGUUGCACAGAGUUUUCCAAAUUAUUUUUUAUCUUGGAAUUGUAUCAGUUGAAAUGCGACAAUCAUUGGAGUGAUAAAAGUUUUCAGAAAUUAUUAUCCAUCAUACGUAGUGCUAUUCCAAAUGGGGAGUCAACCAUUUCGAAAACCAUGUACCAUGCGAAAUCGGUGGUUCGUGACUUGGGCCUCAAUUAUACGAAAAUCGAUGCAUGUCGCAACGAUUGUAUUUUAUAUCGAAAUGAGUAUACAGACGCAGAAACUUGCCUGAAUUGCGGAACGUGUAGGUGGGUCGUCGAAGGCAUUCGGAAAAACAAACGUGUUCCAGCGAAAUGUCUUCGUCACUUUCCGUUCAUUCCGCGUUUGAAGAGAUUGUAUCUGUGUUCCAAAAUUUCUGAAGACAUGAUAUGUCACCAUUCCAAACAUAAAGACGACGGAUUUCUUCGGCAUCCAGCUGAUUCUUUACAAUGGAAGAAAUUUGACGAGGUUCAUCCCAAAUUUGCAUCCGAACCACGUAAUGUGAGACUUGGUUUAGCAACUGAUGGAUUUAACCUCGUAAAACGAAAGAUAAUUUGAACGCGAGGUUGGAUUUACAAUCGAUGAGAAUCCGAAAAGAACUUCAUCCUAUUCGACGGGGAGAAGAAUGAGACAUUCCGAGUGCGUGUCUCAACUUAACGACGAAAGAAAAGAUAUUAUUUCUGUCAGUGUUUAAAUCCCUUCGACUUCCCGAUGAAUAUUGUUCUAACAUUUCUAGAAACGUGAAAAUGAAAGAAAGAAAAUUUAUCGGAUUGAAAAGUCACAGUUAUGAAUGGAUUAAAAUUUUAGACAUCAGAAUUGACAAAUCGAAGAUCGACGUAAAAUAACGGUAUUUUUCUUUCGGCUACAACAUCAACGUUUGCUAAAUCUCCAAAUGAUGCUCCGUUGGUAGCAGAAAUUGAAUAUCAUGGAUUAUUAGAAAAUGUUUUCGAAAUUUGCUACGGUCACACGACUAAAUAUUGUCUGUUUGAAUGUAAGUGGUACGAUCCUGAAAAAGCAGGUACAAAAGUCGAUAAUUUUGGUGUCGUUUCAGUGAACACGACACGGGGAAAAUUUGGAAAGGAAUCUUUCAUUUUGGCAAAUCAGGUUCAACAAUGUUUCUACAUUCAAGAUCCGAUAGAAUCUGAAUGAAGUUCCGUCCUUAAAAUACCAAAUAGAGAUAUUUUCGAUGUUGAUAAUGAUGAUUGUUGUAAUUAAAUUAUAAAGUAUUACAUUACAAUAUAAUUUAAUAUUUUGAAUAUAAUAUCAUGUUAAUUAUAAAUAUUUCUUUUUUUCAGUAAAAAAUGAGUCAACUACUUGCAAUCGUCGAACGAUAUGAAUGACUCAUGCGACUAAACCAGAUUCAACGUAGUUUGUACAGAAACAUAGAUUAUUAUUGUCGUGUUUUUGCUUGUUUUCGUUGCGGAGUCAACGGUCAUCAUUUUCACAACUGUUCAAAAAAUGGUCGAGAAAUCCUCAAAUAAUGGAAACCGGUCAGAUUUUAGUGUUAGGAUACGAAGCUAGAGUUGUAGGCACACAUUCAUUCAAAAUCGAAUACAACUCUUCUUACGACGAUUUCGAAGAUUUGUUGUGUCUAAUAAUAAAGAAUAUAAAUUACAAUAGGAAAAAUGUUUGGUUGUUGUGUCAGACUAAGACCCCAUAUACGGGUGUCUGGAUAUGUAUUUAAAUUAACUAAUUUUAUUUUAAAAUUUAAAUAUUUCAGAUUAUGUUUACUUUUUUCGUUCUGAUCGGUGUGAUAACACCUUUCAUGGCAUUGGCGAUGGUUACAUCUCGUCGCUCUUUUGAAGAGUCAAGCUCAAGUGGUCAGUUCAUUAUUCAUAUUUUAAAUAUUAUCAUAAUUUUUAUUAAAUAUUAAUUCUUAAAUAUGUAAAUUAAUUAGAUGCGAGACCAUCCACAUCGAAUGUGCCUCUAAAGAAGAAGGGUCGUGGUCGCACAAAAGACCAUCCCCAUACCCAUCCAGAAAAAAGUACGAAAUGGAAGGUCAUGUUUGAAAACACGAACCAAGCGACGGAUGAAAUGACGAAGAAAUUAACCACAAAAAUGGCUCUUUUAGCAAAAGACUAUACUUUCUUCCCGUACAACAUUGAGUGAUGUCAUCAACCACAACAAAAUUUUCAGGACGCGUUGAAAAUAUUAACUGUAAGUAUAUAUAUUUUUUAUAAUAUUUAUUAAUUUUCCAAAACUUAUAAGUUUUGAAUAUGUAGGCUGAAUACGAUUUAAAUGGAAGGAAAGUUGUACAAACUUAUAUCAAUGGUAGGUUGAACAAACUCUAGAGGAGCAACCAUAAUUCUUUGGUUAAAACUUAUGGCUUGGAUCCUAAUAUGAGAGAAGAAGAUAAUUUAGCGACUCUUCCACCGUAUGUCAGCAAACCUCAAUUUCUGAAUAAAUUUAGACAACAUCGAUCGGAAAGAGGACAGGUACGUAUAUGUGUAUAUAUAUAUUUAUUAUAUUAAUAAAUUUAAAAACUUAUUAUUUUUUAUAAUUUCAGCAAAUUUCUGAGAUAAAUACCGCGAACCGAGCGAAUCAAAUGGCACAUCACGCUGGUUCAAAAGGAUUAGCGCAACGACGUCUUGAAUUGGUAAUUUAUUCAUAAUUUAUAUCUAAUUUAAUUAUAUAUUAAUGAAUUAUGUGAAUAUAGAUGCAACAAGGAAGGAGUGAAGUCGAAACUUGGUCAGAGACUUUACAAAUGACAUAUAAAGGAAGCGAUAAAGUUGUAAGUUUUUUUUUAAAAUUAUUUAUAUUUUAUAAUUUCUAUUAUCAUUGUUUGAUUUUGUUAUUCUUUCAACUUGAAGCCACAGAUUUUAUCAGAAGUCAAGAGGCAAAAUCGUGGGCUGAAUCUGAAGCAAUGACUCCAUUUGUAAGUUCCAUUGAUUAUUUUAAACAUAUUUCGCAUUUACUAUUUAUUUACUUUUUAUAAUGUAGCAAUUUAUCGAAGCGACGGUCAACAAGACUUUCGGAAAAAAUAAAAAGAAUAGGAUCAUAGGAAUUGGAGAACCUGCCAGUAUGGUGAGCACAACGAACGAAAGAUGGGCUUCUCCAAAUUGGAAAGAAAAAGAGCCGAUCUCCGAAAACACGACUACUGAUGCAGCACCAGAUGCAGCUUGGUCGGAAAAAUUCAAAGAAUUAGAGGUAUUUUAAAUAUAUUUCAAUAAUUUUGUAGAUAAUCUAACUCAUUUUUGUUUUCAUUUUCAGAACAAGUGUAACGAGAGUCAGAAGACGUCUCCAAAUAUAAGAAGAAGUUCAAUGCCAUGAAAUCUUAUAUCAAGAAACUCAAUAAGACUUUGAAGACUUCCGGACUCGAUAUGACGCACAUGGCUUCCAUUUCAAAGUCCACCAUACCGUCUGCAUUAGAAUCAGAUAUUUCGGAUUCUGAUUCAGAAGACUCGAUUUCAGACGAGUGUUGAUUAAACUAUUUUUAUAUUUGUUUAUUCAAACAUCGAAUGUUUAACGAUUCUGUAUUUUAGUUUAUUUUUAAUAAAAACAUCGAUUUCAAUUUCAAUUUAAAAAUCGCUUUCUCAAAUAUCGAUUUCUAAUUAAAAAAACAACGAUUCGAACGCAAAAUAUAUAAGCUUGUUUUAAAAAGAAAUUAAAACAAACAUUGUAUGGCGGAUUUCCACCAUUCAUACUCUUCUAUUAAGGUUUAGAUGGCGGAAAUCCACCAUCUAAAUAUGGGCACAAUCGCCCUCUCCCAGGAAUAGAUGGCGGAUAUCCGCCAUCUAUAAACUUAGGGAACCGCCUGAUGUACUUUCAAUGGCGGAUUUCCACCAUCUAAUGUUACAAAGAUAGUCGGCAGACAUCCGCCAUCAAUAAAAUUAACCGCCAUCAAUGAAUUGGCGUCAAACUUUUUCCGCGCCAUAUUUUAGAUGGUGGAAAUCCACCAUCUAAAAAUUUUCAGUUCCCGCGAAAAUUUUCAGAUUAGAUACAAUUUUCAGUUCCCGCGGAUUUCCGCCAUCUAUACAAUUUUUGGUGAGAAAUGGGGAUGGAUAAUAGAUGGCGGUCUUUAGAUGGCGGUUAUGGGGUUUUAAUGGCGGUGUCCAAGAUGACGGUCUUUAGAUAGCGGAUUUCCGCCGACGAUCACUUUAGAUGGCGGAUUUCCGCCAUCUAAAGACUACCAUACAAGGUCUUAUUUCUUGUAGUGUCUCUUCCAAGCUAGAUGACAUCGUCAAUUCUUUAGACUCACUUCAUAAGGAGUUUUCUGAUUCCUCAGCGUUAUGUUUUGAUUCCUCAACGUUGGUAUCGAUGUUUACAUCAUUUCCAACAUAAUACCAUGUUAAAUCGACGAGGUGCUCGAGUUGGCGAGAUGACCGGCUUUGAGCCGACAGGGUUGUUCAACGGAGUUGCCAUAGAAAGAAGAGGGAAACUGGGAUUUUGAAGAACGCUUAACCAAAGUGAACCGGUGGUUAAGCAGACUGGGUUUAGAAAGAAAUUAGAGUGAAAUUACUUUCUGUAUAGAUUGAAUGAUAUUGAGAGUUAAUUACAAUUAUCUUAUAAUGAAUUCACUAACUAUUACAUAACUAACUCUCAACUAAAAUAAAACUAAAUUCAAUUCUUAAUUUCGUAGCCCAACACUUGAAUCUGGUCCAUAUACAAUUGGCCCAUUUUCUUUUAUUGAAACUAUUGCGCAUUAGCCCUCCAGCUUCUUUUAUAUCCUAAACUUAAGUGUUGGGUAAAUUGUCUGCACAGUAAACACUUCACAGAAACUAUUAACAGAUAUUGAACUUAAUAGAAAUUGCAGUUUAGUCCUGAGUUCAGUUUAAUAUAAUUUCAGUAAUUCUGUUUAUUGUUUUAAACACUGUUUAAGGUUUAUUAAAUCCUUUAAGAACUAAUGUCCAGGGUACGACUUCGGAUUUCGGUAUACCAUUUACAUGCUUACAUACAUGAGAAGACAACUUCAAGUCGUAAAUCGAUCGCCAUUAUUUUUAAACAAACGUGAGAUAUUCUUAAGGGUCGUUGAUGAAGCACGUAAUAUGCUACUAGGGGGCUCGGGGGGUUGCGAGAUGAGCCGGAGGCUUUGUAGUCUACGAUGUGCGCUCUACGUCAAUGUACCUACAGAGAGGAGGGGAAUCGGUGACUCAGCAAGGGAGUCGGCUAUUCGGGCUCCUGAAGGUGCUCUGGUUGGAGUGUGUUGUCAAGUAUGUUGGAGAGGAAUGAGAUGAUGAAUGAGGACCCCCAGAGGGUCCCUUUUAUAGGGUCCUUGGGGCGUUUCUCAUUCAUUAUUCCUGGGGCCCACGCCAUUAUGGUGCCCUAUUGAUGGUGCCAUAAUGAUGCUGGCCAAGUCAAGUAACGCCUGGGAGUUGGCGACUUAGGUGUGGGAGUCGGCGACUCAGGGUGGAACCAUCGAUUCCCCAUGAGCCAGGUUGACAGUCUACCAGAACUGACCAACUAGGCCUGGAAUCGAUGGCUCACUACUGGAGUCGGAGACUUAGUAGUCCCAGUCGUCGAUUCCCAGUGUUGACUUGAGUACUUGACGUAGACAUUUGCCCGCAACCGUGGAGCUCUCCGGGGGUCCGGCAUAAAGCGAUGGAACCCUAGUCCUUGUUGAAGGGCAUUGUUGGGAGUAACUGACGUAAUCAGGCAUUUCUCACCAGUACUCCCCCCUAAAGAGAGCACAAGAAACAUGCGUGUACCGCCAGUAUCCCCCCAAGCAAGGAUAUUGUGUGAUCCGCAUCACUAUCAGAUGGGAUUGAAUCAUUGCGGCCAUAGCGACACAGUGAUCUCGUAUCCAUCACUAUCAGAUGGAUUGAUUAAUUAUCAGAAUCUAGUUCCAGGCCAACGGAACUACGUGUUUAUAGUCCAUCCCUGAUCAAGGGCGACUUUUGCUGUGUCAUCAAGGCCAAAGCGACAAGAUGAAUUGACUCACUAUCAGAGUUUGAUUCUGGCCGAAGCGACAGAAUUUAUUGAUUCACUAUUAGAAUCUAGUUCACUAUUAUAACUAAUGUUUAUAGUCAACUCUGAUCAAGAGCGACUUUUUGUCCACAACGAUGGUUACCCCAUCAAGGCCAAAGCGACAAGAUGGGUUGAGAUCAUUAAGGCCAAAGUGACAAAAUAAUCUCUAGUCUAUCAAGGCCAAAGAGACAAGAUAGAUUGACUCACUAUGAGAGUCUGACUCACUGUUAGAGUCUGGUUCACUAUUAGAACCUAAUUCACUAUUAGAAUCUUACCUGCAAAAAAGAAAACAUCCUGCAAAAUAACUAGAUCAGUCUAAAAUGCAUAUUAUUAUUGACUUAUUGAACUUACCGUGCGAUUUUACCUUCCGUGAUGCCCCUCCUUUGCUCAAAUUGAUCAUUGGUAAAUCUGACCGAAGCGACAGAAUUUACCGUGCUCAAAUUUUUUGACGACUUCUGGCCGAAGCGACAGAAGUGUCGGGAGAGCUUGUAAUACUCCCCCUCGAAAUGUGACGACUUUUAGCCGAAGCGACAGAAGUGUCGGGAGAGCUUAUGAUACUCCCCCUCGAAAUGUGACGACUUCUGGCCGAAGCGACAGAAGUGUCGGGAGAGCUUGUGAUACUCCCCCUCGAAAUGUGAGGACUUCUGGCCGAAGCGACAGAAGUGUCGGGAGAGCUUGUGAUACUCCCUCUCGAAAUGUGACGACUUCUGCCUGAAGCGACAGAAGUGUCGGGAGAGCUUGUGAUACCCCCCCUCGAAAUCGUGCCAUUAUGACACAUAACCUUUGGAAUGAGUAGUUUGAUUGUCAAUGGGCUAUCUUUUGUUUUUUCUUUCUAAUCUUUCAUAUAAAUUACCCUUUAAAUUAUAACUAAGGCCCGAAACUAGAUUCACAAGUCGUAAUUUAGCCACUCUGUAUGUAAAUUAGACUCUGCUAACCCUAUUGCUAGCCACUCUGGGUGUAGACUUGGUCAUACGAAUCGUAGCUCAGCCUACGGUUAAAUUUGCGGAUAAUUUAUACCUCCAGAUUAACGUAGAGUUAUAAAAUAUAGAGCAAACGACGAAUCCAAAAAAUAUUCGAAAUUCGAGGGUUACCUUUGUAAUUUUUAUUUACGUCUUAGUUUGAACCCUGAUGCCGGUAAGAGCUUAUGAUACUCCCCCCUGAGAUGUGACGACUUCUGGCCGAAGCCACAGAAGUGUUGGAGAGAGCUUGUGAUACUCCCUCCUGAAAAUAUGUUGUUUACCCUGAGUCGGCGACUAGGUGCCCCAAUCGUCGACUCCUAUGUUUUGGGUAACUGUGAGAGUUGUUUUGAAAUUUCCCCGCCUUGAGUCAGCGACUCCCUCUGGGAAUCUUCGACUCCUAUUGUGAAACGUAGGAUCUCUCAGAAGAUCGUUGGAGAUAUUUGGAGAAUAUAUGCAAAUUUUUCAAUUAAGGAAAUAUAUCUCUCAAAUUUUGCAAAAUAGUUACCGGAAUCGACGAUUCAGCAUGGGAAUCGUCGACUCGGGCGUGAUUUCAGGGAUUUGGAGAUCGAUUUCCGAUUCCUUCUCUUGCAAUUUCUGGAUUUUCUAGGGGGUUUUUGCAAUUUUCCCAGGGGCUAGAAAUAGUGGCGAGCGAUUCACACUUCUCACUCAACUUUUCCCCAAAUUGAAUCGCCUAACCAAACCCUAGAACCCUCUGUCACCGAUUCCCUAGUUCAAUUCAACUCGAGUCGACGACUCCGAGAUGGCAAGAACUAGUCCUCACCAAACUGAUGCCGAGGCCGCCGCCAUGAUCGCGGAGAUGGCCAGAGAAGACAUCAUCGUCGAGAUGCUGAACACCGUUGAGUCGCCGAUUCCAUCUCCUCCCAGAGACGUUGAAUCGACGAUUCCGGUAGUUCCAUCUGCCGACGACAAUCUGAGUACUUCUGUGCAUGAACUGCUGGAGCCUAUGGCUGGGUGGACGAUUCCCUCUGUGGGAUCGACGAUUCCGGACAAGGUUCCGGAAGUCAUGCCAGAGGCUGAGCAGGGAGAAAUACUUGGUGAGUCCACGAAUCCCACUAGCUUCGGGGUCGCCGAUUCCCAGGGGUUUAAAGAAGAAAGCCUUCUUCAAGAGAAGGGAUAAGAUGGUCGCCGACUCAGAAGCAGCUAAUAUACGCUAUGAGUCGGCGACUGGCCAGGAUGAAUCGACGACUCCCGUAGUUGAGUCGGCAAUUCCUAUUGUAAUAGUGAAUGAUUCAAGUACGCAUCCUGAGCCACUUGUUGUAAAUGCUAAGGGUCUCAUCGUAUCUGGGAUGAACCCUAAUAAACGACAAUCUGAGGACAAUGGUUCCAAGAAGAAGAGACGACGACGAAGCCAUGGCAAGGGUAAAAUCCAUGUGCCUGGCCAAGAGGAGAAGGCUGAGAAUCCUCAAAACUUGAAUUUCGACAAGGAGUUAGUCUUCGAACGUAAAGUUCCCAACCCCGCCCCUAAUGCGGGUCAACGCUUGAGAGAAAGAACUCCUCCACCUCCAGUCGAGAUGGAUCUUGGUCAUGAUCCUUAUGCUGAUUUCCCUAGCUACAUUGGGAUAGUGAACCCGACUGGAUAUGCGCAUUGCGAGAAGUUUGUUAAUGGCGCAAUACAGUUGCUCCCUUCGACCGAUCGGGCGAGGGUCGAUUUGAACAAGUGAUGACUAUGGCGACGCUUACGCGUCAAUCUGAUGUACAUCUCCCUUCCAUCAUCAGCGCGAGCGAGGCUCGAGAUCUUUUGAGGGGGAUGAGGAUUUCGGGACACCUCCGCUUCUGGAUGUCUCAAUACCAGCCUACGAACCUCCCACCACCGGGGUUCCAGGCCUUGCCGAAGAUGUAUUUCAAGCACUUCUCUGAGCUGCCAAUUCCAGAGCUCAUGAGUGAGAUAUUGCUUACUUUCGAGACCUCGCUGUCACAACUACCAGCAGGAUUCUUUGUAACGCUGCGAGGAUUCUCCAACAUCUGUUGGAGCUUGAACAUCACUCCCACUCCGCACUUUUUCCUCAACUAUUAUAAGUUGUGCAAGGAUGGGAAGGUUGGAUCAGGUCGUCUCGGGUUGGCGCGACGAAACCUUGAUCGCAACCUGGUUGAUGAUCUUCCUUCUAACCACGGAGUGUGAAAGAAGGAGUUUGUUUUUGUCAAUUCUGAAUUUCUUCCCGGGAGUCGGGAAAGUUGGGCGAACCCGAACUGCACGCAGCUGAGCGCAAACCUAGGCUUAAUGGCGGAUGAUGUGAUUGCCACCACCAAGAUUGCCAAGGCUCUGAAAGCUAAUAACUUGCUUCCUGGCGUGCCUUUUGUCCUCUGCCAGCGUGAGGACUAUACUUUUGAAGAUGUUGAGGAGGCUCUGAAACCUCCCACGAAGGAAGAGAUUGCGAGCGGGAAGAAGCGCACACUCUUGUUCUUUGAUGCUGCCGCUCUGCACAUGGCUGCGAGGUACCGACGGGCGAAGCUGAUCAGAUUGGAGAAAACUAAUGCUUCCAAGCCCAAAAGUACUUUUGAGAGGGGUUCAAGUUCUCAAGCUGCCCUUGAGAAAUCAGGUUUCGCACCCUACAUGAGUGGCGUGGCUCUCCCUGACUUUAUGGCUGAUCCACAAGUCAGAGCGGAUGCCAUGUCCAUCCUCAUGGCGAAACCUGGGAGAUGGGUUCGGAGUGAGCUCAUGACAGCUCUGAAUGCUGUAAGUGCUUCUAAUCUUCCGAAAACAUUUUUAUUUAUUUUUUAUUGUUUGCUAACUUGUUUUGUUUUUGUAGGUUUGCUAUAUGGCCCAUGCGUGUUUCGGCAUGGACUCGAUUAAUAACGUCCAAAGAAUUUUUUAGAAUAAGUGACGUAAGCACUUAGAACUUUUUUCGAUCCUCAGACUCUAGAUUUCAUUCCCUAAUAUGUAGUUGAACUCUGGCCGAAGCGACAGAGUAACUUUUUACCCUCAUCAAAGCCAUAGCGACAAGAUGGGGUUGGAUCUUUAAGGCGAUAGCGACAAAACAAUUUUUCAUCUAUUAAGGCCAUAGCGACAGAAUAGACUUUUGUAUGUGUUGUGGGUACUUAGAACCUCUUGGGGUUAGGUUCACUUAUGCUUAUCAACUACCUAAGACUCUACACUUAGACCCUAAUGUGUAGUUGAACUCUGGCCGAAGCGACAAAGUAACUUUUGGACCCACAUCAAAGCCAAAGCGACAAGAUGGGGUAGGAUCGUUAUGGCCAAAGCGACAAAACGAUUUUAAUCUAUUAAGGCUGAAGCGACAAAAUAGAUUUCUAAUUAAGGUAGGGUGCUAGUUAGAGUCUUAGGUAGGUGAUUUUGAAAGAAAUGCCAACUUUAUUGACUUUUUGAAAUAAGAAUUACAAAGAUAAAAUCUAACUAUUCUACUUUGUAAUUUGUACUAGCAUAUAUACUAAGAGGACCUAAGAAAUAAUGUGUUCAAUACUAAGCGUAGUAUUGCUGCAUAUUGUCCGCGUGCCAGGUGUUUGGAACCAUUGUUCCAUCCUGCCGCCGUAGACGAUAAGUUCCUGACCUUAUCUCCUCUUCGACGAUGUAGGGACCUUCGAAGUUGGAUGACAGCUUAUUCCUUGGUCUAUUCCUCUCAGUUAUGCUAGCCUUCCGCAUGACGAGAGUUCCUGGCAGGAAGACUUUUUUGCGUACUUGGCGAUUGUGGUAUCUCAAUACGCUUGCCUUGUACGAUUUGUUCCGCAAGUCCGCCUCGUCACGGGUUUCAUCCCUCAACUCUAGCUCUGUAGCUAGAUUUUGGUCAUUUGUUUGUUCGACGUACUUAGAGACUCGGUAUGUUGGUAUACUCAUCUCAAUUGGUACAACUGCCUCCACUCCAUAGGUCAUAGCGAAAGGAGUGUUGCCCGUGGGGUUUUUACUUAUUGUGCGAUAUGCCCAUAGGAUUUCGCACAACUAGUCUGCCCAGGCCCCUUUGGCUGAUUCGACUUUCUUUUUCAAUCCUUGUACGAUGGCCUUGUUGGUUACCUCCACUUGUCUGUUUGCCUGAAGUCGGUAAACGGAAGCAAAGUGGAGUUUUAUGUUUAGGUCCUCGCACAUACUUGAAAAUUUCCCCCCUGUGAAUUGGGUACCAUUGUCUGUGACAAUAUGUUGGGGGACUCCGAAUCAACAUACUAUGGAGCGGUAGACGAACUUGACUGUCGCAUCCUGAGUGAUCUUCGCUACAGCCUGAGCCACGACCCACUUUGUAAAGUAAUCUACUGCUACAAAGAUGAAUCGAGCUUGGGAUGUUGAAGGUGGGAAUGGUCCUACGAUGUCCAGUCCUUACCUUGCAAACGGGAUCGAGCUCAGAAUCGGAGUCAUAUCCGCGGAUGGUUUCUGUUGCAUUGGACUAUGCAACUGACAUGCUCGGCACUUGCGGACGUAAAUGCGAGCUUCUAACCGUAGGGUGGGCCAAUAGUACCCUAGCCUUAUGAUUUUGAAGGCAAGUGCUCUUCCUCCCUCAUGGAGCCCGCACAAGCCUUCGUGUACUUCCUGAAUCAACUUAUACGUGUCAGUUUGAUCAAACAACACAGCAACAGGUUGUCGAAGGACUUUUUGUAAAGUAGCCCUUCGACGUCGUAAUAUUUGACUGCCUUGUGUUUUAGUUUUUUGGCCUCCCCCUUGUUGUCAAGAAGUACUCCAUUCUGAAUGAAUGCCAAUAUUGGUUGUCUCCAAUCCUCUUGGGGAUCAGACGAGACACUCAAUAUCUGGCAUGUGUGUUGGAGUAUUGAGUCCACCAAGAUUUCGCGCUGGCCUCCCUCCCAAGCCGAUGCGAGGCGUGCCAGCGCAUCGGCGGGCGUAUUUUGAGUGCGAGAAAUUUGCUCGAUUUUGAACUCGGCGAAUUGUUUGGUGAGUGCCACCAUUGCCUCUAUAUACUUAGUGAUCUGUGGUUCUUUGCAGGCAAAUUCACCCGUGGUUUGCCGAGCAACAAGCUGGGAGUCAGUGCGAAGUGUGACAUUCUCAGCGCCGAGAGUUCUCAACAGCUUCGUGCCGUGUAUAGCUGCAUCGUAUUCCGCGACAUUGUUAGAUGCCGGGAAGUGAAGCCGUACCGAGUGUUCGUAGUUUUUUCCAUCCGGACUAUGGAUUUUUACUCCGAUACUCGAGCCUGUGCUGCAACUCGAACUGUCUACUUCCAUAAUCCAGGGUUGGGCCUGGUUUGACGGUGUGAGCUCGACGAUGAAGUCCGCUACAGCUUGCCCUUUGAUGGCAGUGGCUGGUCGGAAAUCUAAGUCGAACUCACUGAGCUCGAUUUCCCAUUUGGUUAACCUUCCCGAGAUAUCUGGCUUGUUAAGAAGACGGUGUAAGGGACAUGUUGUAAGUACUAUGAACGUGUGCGCUAAGAAGUAGGCUCGAUAACGACGGCAAGCGUGGAUUACAGCAUAUACGAUUUUCUCAAUUGGUGAGUACCGUAUUUCCACACCUUGCGGUCGCCUCGAGUGACAGUAGAUAGGGAUUUGAUCUUGUCCCAUUGCUCUAUGAGGACUGCACUUACGACUUCCUCUGAAGCCGCUAUGUAUAAGUACAGGUCUUCCCUAUCCUUGGGUGAAGUCAGCAUUGGAAGUCAGGACAUAUGUGCUUUUAACUUUGUAAAUACCUCCACACAUUCCGGUAUCCAAGUGUGACUACCCUUACCCGCAGUUUUUAGUAGCUUGAAAAACGGUUUGCAUUUGUCAACCAUUUGCGAUAUGAAACGACUGAGCGCAUUAAUUCGUCCGUUCAACCUUUGUACAUUUCUGAUUGUGCGGGGGGCUUCCAUAUCAAGGAUUGCAUGGAUUUUGUCGGGAUUUGGUUUGAUCCUGUGCUGACCUACAUAGAAACCAAGGAACUUGCCUUCCUUGAUUCCGAAGGAACACUUGACCGGGUUGAGCUUCAUCCCGUAUUGCUUCAAUGUGCCAAGGGUUUCUCUCAGAUCCUCAUGGUGCAUUUCCACGCAUGACGAUUUGACCAAAAUGUCAUCAACGUAAGAGGAAACGUUGCGCCCGAUCUGGUCCGCAAAAACCUUGUCCAUUAAGCGUUGGAAUGUAGCUCUAGCAUUCCUUAAGCCGAAUGUCAUUACUCUGUAACAGAAUGUCCCUGAGUACGUGAUAAAUGAUGUUUUUUCUUCAUCAGGCUCAUGCAUCAGGAUCUGGUUAUAUCCUGAGUGGGCAUCCAUCAUAGAGAGGAGUUCGUUACCAGACACUUCAUCGACUAGUUCGUCAAUAGAUGGGAGCGGGUAACUAUCCUUGGGGCAUGCUUUAUUGAGAUCUAUGAAAUCAAUGCACAUGCGCCACUUGCCAUUGGGCUUUUUGACAAGGACGGGGUAGGCCAACCAAGUCGGAUAUCGAAUCUCUCGAAUGUGUCCAACAUUCAGAAGUUUCAAUAUCUCUUCGUUGGCGGCUUACCGUCUGUCAGAAGUGAGUACUCGACGCUUUUGGCGACGAGCUGGGAUGGAUGGGUCGAUAUUGAGCUUUUGCGUCACGAUUUGACGCGCAAUCUGUGUCGGUGCCUCACCCUCCCAAACGAACCUGUCCUGGUGCUCCUUCAGGACAAUCACAUGCUUGGCCCUUAGGUCAGGGGCUAACCCCUUCCCUAAUACCACGUGUCCCCCUUCAGCUGGUAUAUUUCAGUCUCAUCCAUGGGUUGUAAUUUUUCCCUCUCCCCAUUGUCGGGUGGGGUGUGGACGAGCAUGUUGUUUAGUUUGACCAACUGGGUUGCCUUCUUAUACCCUUGUCUAGAAUUCUUUUGUGAUCCUUUGACAGUUGCGACGAUCCCUUUGACUCGGUAUCGUAUGCACUGGUGAUAAGAAGACGGGACUGCUUUGAUCCCAUGGAUGAAGGGUCGUCCAAAGAUGCCGUUAAAAGUGGAUUCUACUUCUACCACUAUAAAACGACAUGUUCGACUAACCCUUCCUCGCCGGGAUCCGAUGGAGACCUUCAGGUCAAUAACGCUGGCCACCGGGGUGGCGACGUUUGUAAACCCUGUAGAUGGCUUCCUUGCAAGGAGACAGAUCCUCCUUUUUAAGGCCUAUCUUGGUGAAAGUGUCCAUAUAGAGGAUGUCCGCGGAACUGCCACUGUGAACAAUCAUCCUCUCGACACGGGAAGUGGGACCGAUGUCUGCUUGGAUCACGAGUGGAUCCUCAUGAGAUUGCAGGAUAUCGUCCAGGUCCUCUUCAGAGAAGUAUAUCGACUUCUCUUCGCGGACCCGCUUCCCAUUAUCACGAGGUGUUGAUUGUGACAUCAGCACCUUCCGGACAUAUCCCCUAUUAUGGCCAACGGAUCCACCACCAAAUAUCAUAUUGAUGGUUUUCUGUUGGCGGUCCUCGCUACUGUUGUUGUUUGGCGAAUGAGAGUGUGGACGCUUCCCCUUCGGGUCAGACUUACAAACGUCCUGUCCCCGGUAUCCUUUGACAAAGUUGCCAAGUUUACCCUUCGAGAUCAGUUGCUCGACAUAAAGCGAGAACUCCCUAUAAUGGUUCGUCAUGUGGCCGUGGUCCUUGUGGAAUUUACAUAAUCUUCCACCUUUUUUACAGCUACCCUUAGUUGCAGGUUCCAAAGAACGAGGAGCGGGCAGAUCCGCUCGGUUCUUCAGUUUCUCAAACAACUCGCCUUUGCUGAUUGUUAGUGGGGUCCAAUCCUUCCAUGGUUGGGGUGGACCCUUUGACGACUGUUUGGUAGAGGUCUGAUACACCUUGUUGUCGUGUUUGGGCUUCCAUUCCUUUUUGAAGGAAUCAGCCGCAUUGUCAGUGUAUUUGUUCGAGGAGCCAUGAAAAUUGUUCUUCCCAUUGUAGCUCUUCUUCUCGAACCUUGGUUUUUUGAAGCUAGUGCUCUCAAGUUCCACUAGCCUGUUUUCAUUUUCCUCUUCCACCUCAAUGUAUGAUUGAGUUUGCUGGAAGAGGUCUGGUAAAGUCUCCACUUUAUGGAGCAUAAGAUUCUGGGCCAAAGGGGAGUAGGGUACCGGCCCUUUCAUGUACCCCGCUAUGGCCAGACUCGGGAUUAAGUCGCUCACUUCUAUCAUCAUUGAAGUGAACUUAAUCGUAUAAUCCCUUAACGACAGCUUGUUUUGUCGUAGUGCCAGCAGUGCAUUGUCACUGUGUUUAAUCCUGAUCAUCCCCACAUGUUGGGCGAUGAACUUGGACGAGUGGUGUGCAAAGCUGGAGAUUGAUCCAGCUGACAGAUCGGAAAACCUCCGAUAAGCAUUGCCCUUGAGAGUGUCGGGGAAUGCCUGACACAACAGCGCGUUAUCGGUGGUUUGCAAUCAUAGUGGGUUCCUGCAUAAGUUGUGAGACCUUGUUGAUUGGAAAUGUGAGAUCAGGACGUGUGUAAUUAUGGGAUUUUGAAACACAUCGAUGAUCUGUCUAAACAGUAUUGGUUAUUCGAAUGGCACGUACUGGCUGUUGGCUUCACAUUCGAUAAAUUUACCUUGUCCAGGAUCAAAUGAGAUACUGGUGCUUAAUUAAAAACAGGGAACCAUGCAUCUUUGUCGUAAUUAAUAUGAAUGCCCAAAAAAUGGUGUAAAUCUCCGAGCACUUUGAUUUGAAAUAUCUUCGUUUACUGGUCAUUCGUUUGGCGAGCAAAUACGUCCGAUGAACUUGUCAAUAUUAUGUCGUCAACGUAGAUGAGAAAUAGGGCCUCAAUCCCCUCGCCUCUGUAGAAGAAGAGAGAGUGAUCGCUUUUGCUACUUUGAUCUUGAGUCUAAUCAUAGCAUCCCGAAGCCACUGGAACCAUGCCCUUGGGAUUUGCUAGAGUGGUAGAUGGACUUUUUGAGCUGACAUACAUGUGUGGGAAAACCUUUAUUUACGAACUCAGUAUGUUUCUGCAUGAGUACUUGCUCGGAGAGAAUGCCGUGGAAAAAAGCGUUUGAGACGUCCAACUACACGAUAUUCUAUCCUUUUGAAACUGCCCGAGCAAUCGCACUCCUUACAGUCAUCGGCAUGAUUACGGGCACGAAGGUCUCUCCAUAGUCAAUCCCAUCUCGUUGUCGGUAUCCAUUCGCUACUAGACGUGCUUUCCUUCGAUCGAGUGUACCAUCUGGACCCAGCUCAAUUCUUCCGAAAGACCCAUUUGCAAGAGAGCACAUUCUGAUCAGGAGACUGCGCAAUGAGCUCCCAUGUCUGGUUUUCCAUUAAAGCAUUGUAUUCGUCUUUCAUGGCCACUGUCUAAUCCUUGUCUUCUAGAGCCUCGGUCGCACCUGAGGGGAUUGGUAAAGGAGCAGAAAUUUGACAAAUAUAUUUUGGAUUAAGUUUUCAAAUCCCAAUUUGGGACCUUGUAACCAUGUUUUGUCCGUGAAUAUUGAGAGUUUCCUCUGAGGCAUCUGUAUCAAAUAGUUCCCCUAUGGCAGUUGUAUCAUUAACCUAGGUCGGGGGUGCAUUUUCUGUUGUUCCAACUAGGUCUAAGCUUGAAUCGAAACGAGGAACGACGGGCGAUGCUUCUUUCUCGAUAAUGGUCGGAAAACCUGUCAAACCUGGCUCAAGAAACGGAACUGACUCGGUCAAUUGUAAUUUCUGACUUUGAUUGAAAUCUGAUUCAAAAAUCACACAGUCUCUUAAUAUGAUAAUUUCCCCAGAUUUUGGAUUAUAACAGAUAUGCGUACCCUCGGUGGUAUGAUAGAUAGCCAAUAAAUCAGUUCGGUCUAAGAUUAGGGUAAACCAUACAACCGACUACCUGAAUAUCUUGGAAAUUUGGGGCAAAGUUAAACAUUUCUUCAAACGGUGAGUUUCCGUUGAGCGUAGUCUUCGGAGUGCGAUUAUACAAGAAUGCCGCCAUGUGAAAAGCGUAUUGCUAGAACCGAAAUGGAAGACUAUAGUGGUGAAGAAAUACAAGUUCAAUGACGACGAUGUGUCUGUGGCAUCGCCCGUACCCAUCUGGGUAAGUGCAUACGGGCAGGAAAAACGAUGCUCAAUGCCUACUUCAGCAAGAUACAAUCGGAAAGAUCGAAAUAUCCCCCCAUUAUCGGACUGAAUAGCCUUAAUAUUCUUCCCAGUUUACCUCUCGAUGUAUACCCUAAACAAUUUGAAUGAUUGCAUAGCAUCGGACUUGGAUGUUAAGGGAAAAAUCCAGUUGCAUUUGGUGUGAUCAUCCACGUAAUUGACGAAAUAAUAGUGACCGUCAGUGGAUUGUUCAGGAGCCGGUCCCCACAGAUUGACGUAGAUUAGAUCAAGAAGAUAUUUAGAUGAGUUUUCUUGUCUUGAGGGGUGAGGAAGGUGGUGGUGUAGAUCCACAAGAGUGACAGUCGGAAAUUUGAUGUUUAUUUUAUAUUGAUAAAUUGUAUCGUUUUACAAUAUCUAAUGUUAAUUUCGAAGAUUUGUGACCCAGAUGAGCAUGCCAUAAAUCAACCGGAAUUUUUCCAAUGAGAUUGACCUUCGGUUGUGCUGAAUCUCCCAAGUUCACUAAUACAUCCCUUGCCUAUCCUCUUUCACCUGAGCUAUGACAUCUUUAGUUUGCAUAUCAAUCACAUACACAGAUGAUGAGUCGAUGAACAUACCAAAUUUAUUAUCCUUACACAGUUUGUUCACGGAUAAUAAAUUUUGAGAAACAGAGAGGGAACUAUUUGUAGAUCUUUUAUUUCAAAUUCUUUAGAACCCAAUUUGAAAAUCGCAUCUCCUACCUUGGAUGAAAAAAGUACUGAACCAUUUGCUAUUGUAAUUCCUGAAUAUUUCAAGAGAGAAUUAGCAAAUUAUACAAAAAUGCCAUUACCUGAUACAUGACCUUUUGUUCGAAAUCGGGAUUCCAGAGAGCAUUGACUUGUGCCGGAGUUGCAUACACGGUCGAUUUCUUUGCAAUAGACAGUUGUCUUGCGCGAUGUUCCGGUGGAGAAGGGUAUAGAUUUUCAUUGUGCCUAUUGUGACAUGCGAUUGUCAAAUGCCCUUUCUUGCCGCAGAUUUGGCAAGAGACACGUUCCUUAUUGUAGGAUUUCAUCAUAUUUUUAGAUUACAAAGCUUGAGUCAGACCACAAACUUUAGUUUUUAUCAUUUCUUGAUUUAUGAGGUGUACUCGCAUAGUUUGAACUGUCAUGGUGGCAAGCUGGGACGAAAUAAUAGCCACGAUUGACUCAAAAUCAGAGUUAAGACCUCCAAUUGCAUAAAAGAUUAUCUUUGAAUCAGAGAUUACUACGCCCCCUGCUCAAAGAUUUUGAAUCAGUUUAGUUAUUUUGAGAAGGUAAGCCUCCAUUGAUAAUUUGCCUUUCUCAAUUGUCUGAAAAAUCCUUGAGUCGGAUGAAGAAGCAUGGAUCUUUUGUAAUGUGCACCAUACUGAUGCUCAAGAAUCAAGACUGGCCGGUUACCUGUGAUAAUACAACUGAUGAUAGUGUCGAGAAGAUACAACCAAAAAUUAUAUGAUCCUGUUAGAUCUUGAGAUCGUCGUCUAACACGAUCGUGCCUUCAACAUACGGUAGAAGAUCGUAACCAUGCAAGAAGAUUCUGAAUUGUGCUUGCCAGUUGAAGAAGCUCUCAUUCAUAAGUUUCUUAGCAUUCACAUGCUUAAUCUUGACCAGUUUGACCUGCCUAAGGAAGCUGUCGGUGGAAUCAGUCGCCAUGCCUUAUUACAGAAGUAAGAACCGCAGAGGUGGAGUAGUAGAAAUAAACAUAAACGACCCAAGAUCGAAGAGUCUAACUAACGUCUUAUACCAUAUUGUAACUAAAUCGGAGUGAUUGAUUCUAUUUUCACUUUUUCAUACAAUGCUCAUUACAGUAUUUAUUUAUACUAUUAUUUAGUUAGUUACAUCUAACCACAAAUUGUUAGUUUAAUCAAUCUGGAUUAGAUUUGCCUAAUAUGUAACACCCUAGAACCUGGCAAGAUUUCCUUUUGGCUCAUGUACAUGAUCUACGCAUAAGUUACUUUCAUAUGUUAGGUAUAGGUAUUAGGUUCGGUAACAUAAACUCCUAUAAUUGAUCAUCUACUGAGUAACCUAUCAAACUAUUGACACGAUAAUUGAUGGUAUGCUCGAUUCGUACGUAUACCGACUAUCUAUGGACCAGACGAUAAGUUGGGUAUAUAUAGGUAUUCUCCCCCUCCCCAACCUAAGAGGUGAUGCGAUUGGGAAAAAAUAAAAAAUAAAAAUACUCUGCUUCAUCAUUAGGUCUCUAUUUAGACAUACUUUCAUUUGCCAAAAUCGUAGGAUAACAAAAAAAAUCACCGAAAAUCCCCAAAUUUUGGCUAUUUUUAAGAGUAAAUGCCUGAGUGUCAACCUGGGAUGAUUCUUUUGUGAACUGAGGUCCCACACCUUAGUGGACCAUUCAUACUCUUUUUACCCACUAGUUUAGGUAUUUUAUAAUUAAAUCAUAAAGUUAAAGAUAAUGUAUGUUAAGAAAAUAUAAUAUGUAUUUUUAUAAUUAAAACCCUAAACUAUAUUAAUAUAUUAUAUAAUAUAUGUUAUAAUUUCCGGAUCCGGAUCUGGCUAAUUAGGACCCAGAACCGGAUACAGACUAAUUAACGGUCAGGUCCAAAAUGUUUAAUGGGGCUAAAAUCAAUCCCAGACCCAAACGACCGGGUCCACCCAGACCCAUUUGUUGGAUCGAGAUCUGAGGCUAUAAGGGGGGAUAAUAACCUCUUUUUCGAUUAGGCAGGUUAAAUGCGGAAUUACCUGCAAAUACUUGAUACACAAAUGGUUGAAUAACAAUAAAAAGAUUAUAAUAUUAUAUCUUACAAUAUAAUAUUAUAUAUAUUUAUAUUCAUGCCUUUUCUCUUCAAAGCUUACUACAGUAUAUGAAUACUGAGUCGGCUUAUUAGAUAGUGCUUUAUAAACAACUGUAUUAUAUAGAUACUAAGUUAUAUUAUAAGUGCAUGUUAUAGUAUUAGAGUAAAGGACUAGUGAACUGGAUAUAAGAUGAUAAGUAAAUAACUGACCAGAUAACUGGAUAUAUAUGAUAAGUAAAUAUCUGACCAGAUAACUGGAUAUAUAUGAUAAGUAAAGAGUUGACAAGAUAAAUGGAUAGAGAUUUGAACAAUAAAUAUAACCUCAGAUACUUGACCAGAUAACUGGAUGAGGGAUCUGUAGAAAGUAGUCAACCUCUAUACUUGACCAGAUAACUGGAAGAGGGAUCUUUUUUAUUAAGUGUUGCUUAGACAAUAAAUAAAACUAAAGUUAACAAAGAAAAAUACAAAAUAUUUAUACUGGUUCACCCAAACAAGGGCUAGUCCAGUCCUGACAAACUAUCGGAAUUCACUGGCCUAAAGGUAAUGGCAAAACCUUAGAGUAUCAAGGAAACUCUUAAGAAUCUCUAACUUUUACGGGUAAGUUAGUACCUUAGAGUAUCAAGAAACUCUUAAAAACCUCUCUAAGCUUUAAGGCUACUUCGCUUAAGAACCAGUCUUUUACGGGUAGACUCACACCUUAGAGUAUUAUGGAACUCUUAAAAACCUCUAACUUUUACGGGUAAGUUAGGACCUUAGAGUAUUAAGGAAUUUUUAAAAUCCUUUCUAAAUCUUUCAAGGUAGAUUUCACCUAAGAGUUUUUCCGGAAACUCUAUAAAACCAAACAAGAGUUUUUUGGUUGAGCUCAAAAACCUUCUCUCACACUUUGAUGAUAUUGAGACAAACCUCUCAACCAAUGUGGACACACACAAGUGAGGAUUAGAGGAGUGGAAUGUUUAAAGCACACAAAACUUCUUACUUGUAAAGAUGAACAAGAAGGUUAGAAUUAGAAGUUGGAGUGCUUUGAAGCUUUUAGAAGCUUGGACACUUGAGAGCUUUUGGAAGCAAGAACACUUUGUAGAUCUCAAGAUAUGGAGUGGAAGCUCUU